rnacentral:lncRNA from 1 species
ACGGUCGCCGGUGACAUCUGUGACAUCUUUGUGCCCGACGAUUCCUGCCUGCUCAUUCUUAGUAGCGGCUGCUUGCAUGACGGAUGCUACUCCGCCGGGUUGGGUCUGGCCCAACACACGGCUCUCAGCGCUCUGCAUCAUGGCGGCGUCUUCUGGCGCAAUGGGCUUCUGUGCGAGGUCACCGGAAACGGGUAAAACGUCGCCGUAUUUAAAUUGUGUGUAUGUUUGCUUUGUUUGUGCUGUUUAGGAUAGCUUGCUGCCUGUGCAAGUUAGAUAGAAACCUCAACCUAGGACCAUGGUGGAUUUAUAUGAUAACUAUUAGGCUCGAGUCAGACUCCCUUCUAGUUUGUCAUUUCCCCGUCUCUGAUUAGGUUAGAAGUUUCUCCCCUGUUAAGGGGAACUACGUUGCCCUGAUCCUCAUACCAGAUGAGGUACGUAGGCAGGAGGUCGUACGAGAUCUCUCCGGGCACCCUUUUUCUUUUUGUGUGUGUUUGCUUGACAGAUGCCCUGAUCCUCAUACCAGAUGAGGUACGUAGGCAGGAGGUCGUACGAGAUCUCUCCGGGCACCCUUUUUCUUUUUGUGUGUGUUUGCUUGACAGUUAUUAGGCUCGAGUUCCAGACUCCCUAUUAACUCGUCUGUUGGUUAACCUUCGGGUGUGUGUUAGGAGACGGAUGUAAGACCAGCGAUUGGCAGUCCGUAUCCUAUUCGUGGUUUGUUUGUGUGGAGUCUGACGUAAGUCCAGCGAUUGACAGUUGGUUUCCUGUGUUUGUUUGUUGGUUCGGAGUCUGAUGUAAGUCCAGCGAUUGGCAUUCGGUUUCCAUGCUUGCCUGUUUGUGUGGAGUCUGACGUAAGUCCAGCGAUUGGCAGUCGGUUUCCAGUGUGGGUUUUGUUUGGCGUGCGUGAGCCGAACUACGGUAGCUCUAAUUCUCAUUCCCGAUGAGAUACGUAGGCAUAGGAUGCGAUAUCCUAGCGAGCCCGUUCCCCUCUUCUUCCAUCUGUGUUGUUUCCAGUGUGUGCGUGCAUUCUUUUGAGCGGUGUUUAGCAACCUUUCUUCUAUUCUUUUGAGUGUGGAUCCCGUCGAGUACGACAGAUGCGUAGGGGUGCCAAUACCUUCCCUUCGCAUAACCGACUCCCGAUCCCAUCUCUCUCUGGUCGCGAGACCAUGUCUUUUCCAGGUUUACUUCGAGCGUUUCCUUUCCCUCUUUUGGGAUAAAUAACGAGACCAUGUCUUUUCCAGGUUUACUUCGAGCGUUUCCUUUCCCUCUUUUGGGAUAAAUAACGCACGGUGGCGGCUCUGUUUGUUUUGUUUUUGCCCGCCGGUUGUUUUUCGCGGAUGCGACACCCAUUAAUCGAUCAGUCAGUGCUCUAGAUAAGAAUGUUGGAAUUAAACCCAAAACUUUGAGUAAUUCCAAGUCAAUCUUGAUAAACAAGAUUCAAUCAACCGAUCAAAUUUUCUCAUGUUUUCACUCUUCACUCGAGUGAAUCAACCAACAUUGAUUGCGAGAUUGUAUCGCUGCACAACGAUGAUGAAAAUAAGAUAAGAAAAUUAAAUUUAGGAAGAAAGGAAAUUAAAGUUUUAUCGAGAGAGGGAAAGAAGAAGAGUUUUUGUAGAGUAAUUUUCUACUCUCAAACUGAGAUUUUAUUCUUUACAACUGCAAGAUUCAAGUAUUUACAAUAAUAUGGAUUACUCCCUAUUUAUAGAUUUUGGGCUUAUUUACUUCUCAAGAAAGAUCUAAAACUAACCUAACUAAUUCAGUUAAACAAACAAAUAAAAUUAAAUCCAACAUUACUGUCGCGAUACUCUUCGACAUUUUCGACACCUAGGUGAUUCGACACUUCUUUACUUCUGUCGAACAACAUGCUUCGACACAUGGAAUUACAAUUCGACAGUCAUUUGUAAAGAAUCAAUCUUCCAUCAUCCAAAUCAAAUCAAAUAAAACGUAUAAAAUAAAUCAUACAAAACAUAACAACUUAAGUGAAAUCAAAUCUAUAGAGUUCCUAUUUUACAAUUAUUUUAUGGGUGAAUAUACAUGCUUCUAAACCUAAAUGAUCUGAAUAUAUACCAACACAUGUAAUCUGACACACGAACAAUCCAAUGCGCAUGCAAGAGAUGCAUAUUAUGCAUGCCUUUCAGAACUCUCACUAAAUUACAUCAUUUUAAUAUUCAUUUUUCACAAACUAAAUCUUUCUCAAACAUAAUCAAAAUUCUCUCAUUCACAUCACAAUCACUAUAAAAAAAUCACAAAAAAAAAUAAAAUUUCAUCCUAGUCACAUUAUCAUUCUCAAAAAUGUAUUAUAUAAAACUAUACAUUAUUUAUAUAAAACUAUACAUUAUCAUUCUCAAAAAUGUAUUAUAUAAAACUAUUAUUCAUAUUGAAUAUGAUUGUGUUUCAAUUCACUUUUUCUCUUAAAAAAAAUUAUGCAUUAUUUCAUUUACUUUUAUAAUAUCUAAUUAUUUACUUCUAUAAUAUCUAAUUAUUAAUCGGAUAAUCAAUAUAUUAUAAUAUCUAAUUAUUAAUAUUAUAUAAUUAAUAAUAUCUAACUAUUAAUAUCGCUACAAUCAUUUUAUUCCGUGACUCCUCACUAAUUUUGUUUUUGAUCAUUUGUAAUUUUUUUACUCCCUUUGACUCUGAUAAUUUACAAAUAAAUAUAAAAAAAGUAAAGUUUUUAAAUUAGAUAAAAAUAAAUUACUCCAAAAUAGAAUUCAAACUGAUACAAAUAUUACUUACGUUCAUUUUAACUCUAAAGUUUAUCAAUUAAAUAAAUAAAAAUAAUGAACUCUAAAGUUUAUCAAUUAAAUAAAUAAAAAUAAGAUAAAUAUAAAAUGUCAAACAGAGGAAUUUUUUUUUAACAGCUUAGUUGAUUCCGAUUUACUAUAGCAGGUUUUUUAUGAACAAAAAGAUUAUUUCUUUUCCUUUUUUAUUUGUUAUUUAAUUAUUCCCUUAGUUACUUAUCAUACCCCUUUUAUUUUUAAAACUUAAUUAAAUUAAACUAAGUAGUCACUUAUUUAUUUUAUUCGUUUAUACUAAAAUAUCAUUGAUCAAAUAUUCUAAUAUUCUAAUAAGCUCCAUUUUAUUUUGUUGAUCAUCCCAUUUUGGAUGAGUUAGUUGCAUAUUUGAUUUAUAUAUGUGAUUUUGAAAAUUUAUUAAUAAUCGGCCACUAAAUUAACUAUAAUAGUAAUCUAUCAUGGAUAUUAACAUAAGUGAAAAACACAUACACCCGAAAUAACUUGAACAAAAGCAAAGCAAACACCAAGAAGACACAAGAACCACUUGUAAUCUUCUCUCAAAAAAGAAAAAGAAACUACUAAUUAAUAUACACCACCAUUCAUCAUCACGGUUACAUUACAUUAGUAACACUUUCAUUGAGCCUAGCAGCCGCAGCAACAGAAGCAGCUACACCACCAGGAGUAGCAGUAGCAUCAGGACUGUUCCUCAUCUCCGCACUCGCCACCCCCGCAGCAUCAACGGAACAGCGGCGGAAUAGACGGCCGUUGAAGCGUCAUCGAGGACAAAGAACAUCGCUCAGCUUAAUCUUCUCAUCCUCACGAGGACAAUCAGCAUUAAAAGCUGCAGCUGAUUGAGCCAUUGAAGCUAACCCUCCCGGUGUUAUAACAUUACUCCCCGUAGCUCUCACCUCCGCCGCCUGUAUUGCGGCGGCAUCACUCUGUUCCACUGGCUUUUGGCCCACGGUAUAUGAUGUCGCCUCCAGUGCUUCCCCUAUGGUUAAGGCACUCUCUCGAACCGGACUGGUUGGAGCACACUGAAGCGGAGUCGGUUCAACAAAUUGUCCAACAACCUUAAAUUUAGCAGAACACGAGGUUAAAAAUAAGUGAAGUUAAAACAGAAAAGUUUGUAAAAGGAAUUAACAGAGCCGCUGGUUAAGAACCUGUCCACCGACUGAUUCGGUUACUAUGCGUCUUCCUGGGAGUUGAGUUUCCGUGACGGUGACGCCACGGUCGCCGGUGACAUCUGUGACAUCUUUGUGCCCGACGAUUCCUGCCUGCUCAUUCUUAGUAGCGGCUGCUUGCAUGACGGAUGCUACUCCGCCGGGUUGGGUCUGGCCCAACACACGGCUCACACGGUCGCCGGUGACAUCUGUGACAUCUUUGUGCCCGACGAUUCCUGCCUGCUCAUUCUUAGUAGCGGCUGCUUGCAUGACGGAUGCUACUCCGCCGGGUUGGGUCUGGCCCAACACACGGCUCUCGGCGCUCUGCAUCAUGGCGGCGUCUUCCGGUGCAAUGGGCUUCUGUGCAAGGUCACCGGAAACGGGUAAAACGUCGCCGUAUUUGAUUGGUUCUUGAUUGGUAUGACGUUUAGGUUGUUCCUGGCUCAUUUUGCUUUGAUUAGAUUAGAGUGAAUUCGUAUGUUUGGUGAGAAAAUUUGUAGCUAGUUUGUUUGAGUUUUGGAUGCGUAUAGUUUAGCUUUGAAAAGGUAUAUUAAUAGAUUGGAAUGGAGGUGGAAAAGAGAGUUCGUGGCAAAAUACUACACAUGGCAAGUGAUGGCAAGGAGACGUGGCAUGUUUGUUUGGAAUCCACAUAGCAUUCGUUUGCAAAAUUCAUUAAUAUUAAUGUUAAUUAAAAGAAAUCAAAUAUAUUUUUCAUAUGAUUGACAGUGAUAGUGACAAGGCAAUAGUGCUCAUGUUUUUAGAUUGAAUAUAGAUGGUACUAGUAUUUAAAGUUUAGUUGGAUCAAACUAUUAUUUAUAUAUUUUUGUAGAUGCAAAAAGUAAGCUAUAUAUGACCUUAUUGGCAAUGAAUCAAUGAAUUAGUUAAGUAUUACUUUAAAUGUUCUCUGAAUAAGUUAUGUAGUUUCUUCUAUUGCUAAACUUAUAUCUAAGAUUCUUUAGUAUGCUCUUAGACGGGUUGAUGUUAUUUUUAUGUUAGAUGAACUUGGGCCUUUACGAUAUACCACUUCACAUUUUUUUUCUCAACCAUGAUACCUCUAGGAAAAAAGUGAUUAGGUAAAAAAUAAAUGUAAGGGACCAAGUAAUUAAAUAAAAAAAAUAUGGUGAUUAACUAAGAAAUAAAUAUAAGGUCUAUAAAGGCGAAGUGUUUAAGCAAGAAAUAUGGAAGUUCACAAUCCAUUAAGUUUGAGGUCUCUAAGAAUGAACUGAUUAAGUAAGAAAUAUGGAAGUUAUGAGUUGGAGUGGUUGAGGGCAAAACCUGUCAAUCCAAGAGGCGAUAUGCUUAAUAAUUUUUCUCUGUUCUAGUCUUUGAAGCAUGUAUAUAUAGCCACUUUAGUCUUAGUAUUGAGAUUGUAUCAUUGUGUAGUUUAAGAAAAUAUGUCAUUUCUUGAGGGAAAGAUCUCGGUCACACCUUGGCGAAUCUCACUUCUGUAAGCAAUGGGGCAUACAACUCGUCAGCGAAGAUGUAACGUAAUGUGGGGAGCUUACCUUUAUAACUCGGUAAGUGCCUCGCCUCAUAAACAAUUAUCUAAGUUUUUUGUAAGUGUUUCAUGUGAUCUAAAGUGAGUGGAUUGAGGUAUGGACUAUGUGAAUAUUUGAUUCUUUGUAUUUUGUUGAGUAAAUCACAACUUGACGAGUUUGUUCAACUUAUCUCAACUCAUGGAGUAUAUUUAGAUGACCUAUUAUAUGCACUACCACAAAAAAAUAUUUUUUACCACAAUUAUAAAUGUGGGUUAACAUUGACUUCUUAUGCGAGGUAACAAAUGUCAUCAUGAAAAGUGUGUCAUUUUAUCUUUAAGUUGAAAUUCCAUCAAAUGGAGUGGGUAAACAUAAACAUUAUACAAAAAAUAUUCAUUGUUUACACCAAUUGCAGAGGCAAAUUAGCACACACACCUUAUAUUUUUAUUAAAAAAUUAAACAAAUGAUUAAUCAACAAGAGCAAAAAUUAAAAAGCAAAUUCUUGAACGACCGCCCAUAAGUUUUUUUUUGUGAGUUUUGUAAUCGGUCGUUAAGUACAUAUAAUUUGAACCAUAUUUGAAACAAAUAAGGAUAAUCAACAACAACAACAUUAAAUCUGUAAAUCAUUGAUCUCAACAACAACAACAUUCAACAUAAUUCAAACUCAAAUAUCAAUAACAACAACAACAAAAACAUUCAAAAUUCAAUAUCAACAACAUGCAUGAAUAACUAUAACUAAUAUAAAUAAUUUAUAAUCAUAUAUGAAUGUCACAAAGAAUAACACUUACUUUAGAGAUUUUUAAUUUUCUGACUUUUACUUCUAAAAUUAUGCAACAUAUGGUAUCCUUCAACAUCUCUACAUGUUGGAAAAAAUAAAUAUUAAUAAAAAGAAUACAAAUGUAAAAUAAAUAAAUAUAUAUUAUUAAGUCAUAUAAAAUAUUUACUUACUAGUUUUGAUAUAUUCCCUCUUGAUGAUCAUGAUGAAUAAUACGUACAUUAUCUGGAUCAUUUUUUUCAAAUGAGGGACGCACAUGUGUUGUGAAAGAAGGAGUCUCAAAUUUAAAUCUUAAUUUUCAUCAUUAUUAUUUAGAAGUAUGUUUUCCUUGUAAAACAAAUGAUCAUCUAGUGUUUGAAGAAUUAGUGACAGAAAAAAAAAAUUACUUGGAAUGUCACGAUGAAUGGUUGAUUCAUAUAAGAUGUCCUACGAAGAUUAACCCGUGUGAAUCUUAAUUCAUCAAUUUCUACAUCAUUGUUACUAUCAAUUCACUUGCACUUAAAUAAAGGCACUUUAAAAGUAACAUAAUGAAUCUCCAAAAUAUCCUCAAUGACCCCAAAGUACACUCUAGAUUCUAGUACAUGAUUGUUAUCUUUGAAACUAGAUAAUCACUUUAAAAGUAACCUAUUUUUAGCUACUUGGCAUCAUGAUGCAUGACGGCCAACCCGUCAUAACAUACUGAAAAAGGAUCCUGAUCGUGGGUCCAUGAGAAACGUCACGAUGCAUGACGGAAAACUCAUCAUGGUUCUUAAGCGCACACCCUUUUCUUUCCUUCUAAACUACUGACUAUCACUCCAUUUUGAGGCAUGACGGCCAUUACACCUUUUGUACUCAUCAUGACAGUCUGCAACUUUCCAGUUCACUACUAUAGAACACACUUAUCAUAAUUGUUGGAAAAAGGGAUAUAACCACGUUCGAUCAAUUGUUGUGAGGUAAUGUGUGAUUGUAUUGAUGCUUUUCAUCACAUGUGUAUGACUGUUGUGAUAAACUAGGUAGCACAUUAUAUAUCACAACGGUCAAAGUAUAUAAAGCGAAAAGACAUGAGUUCGAAACCUAGUGAUUAUAUGGUUUGUAAUAUUUAGCGCUCUAUCUAUAACAAUGGUUUGUAUAAAUAACCAUGAUUAAAUUCUUUUUUAUUUAAUAUUAUUUUAUUUUUCCAUAUAUUACAAACCUGGAUGUUUCUUACCUGUAUAUUAUACAUAUAUUAGCGAAAUAUUUACAAAAUAUCAAAUUAAGCAAUAAAAAUAUAUUUACAACCAUCAAAGACGAAGUCAUACAAUACCACCCCCUUUUCAACUAAUGCAUCGAAAAUAAACGUCAAACGUCUACGAACGUCGUCUAAGUCAUCGAGAGAGAAAGGUGUCAUGUUAUUAAACGUCUACAUAAACAAGUGAAAAAACUUGAAUAUCACGUUAUUUGAAUAAUAAUAGAAAAUUACUUUAACAUUAAUAUGUUAUUGUAAACAUUUCAUGACAAUAUACAUACCUAAUCCCACGAAUGAACAAUGUCAGCAAAGACGAUGUUAAAGAUGUGUUUCAUUACAUAGUACUCACACUCAUAUCCUCUUAUUAUUUCCUAGUCUACAAAUUUAAACAUUUCAUGAAUAUAUAUAUAUAUAUAUAUAUAAUAUAUAUAUAUAUAUAUAUAUAUAUAUUAUAUAUAUAUAUAUAUAUAUACGAAAUACGAUCUUUUUUCUAGAGUUGUUCAACCUAUAGUGUUUCUCCACAACCUUAUAUAUUGAAAAAGAUUUAAAAAUAUUACACGCUAAAAUAACUACUUAACUAUUUCAUUUAUUUUUUCUAUUAAAAUAUAUAUUUUUGACGGGAAAGAUUACUUAAGUUAUAUAUCUUUUAUAUAUAUUUCUUAAUCAUCACUAUACUAUAUUUAUUUACAAUUUAUAACGACAUUGCGUGAUUCGUCGAACGCACGAUAGAUGAUUACUUAAUUAUUUUAUUUUAUUUUUCUACUAAAAUAUACAAUUUUGACGGGCCGAGACUACUUAAUUUGUAUAUAUUUCAUAUAUAUUUCUUAACCAUCACUUUAAAUAUUUUUUAUAAUAUACAUUUCUUAAAUACAAUUAUAUAAUUUUUAUUUUAUAUUUAUUUCAUAUUUUGUUGACUUUCUUAGACCCGUGCGAGUCUCUUAAUUGGGUACAAAAUUAGAAAGUUAUGAAAAGUUAAGAGAUUUUUUCAUUUUGAUUUAUAUACAAAUGAGUCUUACUUAUUUAUAGUUAUUGUCCAAAAUUAUUAUUUAAAUAUUUAUUAAAAAAACAUGGGUUGGAAAGACAUGAAGAACAUACAUUGAUCUGACCUCUGUCAAAAGUUGUUAUUCUCACACUUUUCUUUCAUUCUCUCAAAUUUCAAUCAUUUUCUACUUUCCCUCCAUUUUCAUCUUCACCACUUUUACAACAACAAAAAUCUCAAAUCAAUUCAUUAAACAAACAAACGAAUUGAUUAUUUCUAUUGCUACAACUAUAAACCUUAAAAUCAAUGCAGCCCGAAGGAAACUUUAAUAAUGAUGGCGCGAGAAACAUAUUAUCAAAUUUGUAACCCGUGGUGUCAGAACAAUCCGGCAAAGGCUUACCCUAUACGUCGAAAAAAAAUCGAACGCCGCUGACAUUUGACAGUGGAAAAUAGACAAAAGAUGUUAGAUAAUUCGGUAAAGUUGAAAGGAUUCGAGUCUAAAUCGUGAUUGAUGUCACUUUUCGUAAAAGUAUUUCAAGCACUCUCUUUAUUGUCUUAGAGUUUAACGCAAGAAUUCUCAGGAUAAUUCAGCCUCGUAAUCGAAUCUGCACAAGACUGGUGAAGAUUGGAAUGCAGAGAAGUGUGUCUGGAAUUUAUGAGAAGAUGAUGCACGAUUUUGAUAUGUUGAUUUUUAAAUAUUGAACAAUGUAUUUAUAGGUCAUGCAUGUGUUAUUUCACAAGGUUGUAACUCUUGAUGAAACAACACCUUUUCAGCAUAGUUUGUAAUGGUUCGCUUAUGGAUACAUUAUGCACCACUUCAUAAAGUGUUGCAUGUUUUGAAUUCGAAGUUCAGACUUUAAGCAACGACUAAAACCAAGAGCAAUACUUAAAAUUAAGUCAUUGCAUGGCGGCUGCAGACCUCCGUCCUCCGGAGCAUCACUGGCGUUGCCGUAUAAUGCCGCGAGUAGCCCGAUUGCUCUGAUGCGUCGUGCCUAAGUGCUAAAGUUCCCCCUACAAUCCAUCACUAGAGGCUCUACACCCACGCCCUCGGACACGGUCCUGGAGCCAGAGCCGGUGUCACCGGUGGCAACAUCGGCGAGAGGUUGUUUGGAUGAGACAUGUGACAUAAUAUUUAGGACCAUUACAUUUGUUCAUGUGGCACUUUAUCCUCUUUAGCUCCAUUAUUGAGUUUAAUGUUUUUAAGUCUUUAUAAAUGCUUUUAAAGUGACCAUUUUUUAUGUGGGCCUAUUAGAAAUGCAUUUAUUGUCAUUAACUCAACUUCACACUUAUUGUCAUGUUGUAACACUCCUGUGGGAAUUAAUUAUCCAUAAUUUCCAACAAUCUCCCACUUGUUCUAAUGAUGACAAGACCAAUUCUAGAAAAGAUAAACAAAGAAUAUUAAUACAGUUAAGUAUCUUUCGAUUGGAACUUAACCUUAGUAUGGAUAACACAAAGUCUAAUCAGAAUGUUAGGUAGCAAUGCUUUGAACCGUUAUCCCUUGUGAUUAUACCGAAAUUACCUUACACACACUCUUUAAUGGUUCUUCGCCCGCACCUCUCGCCUAGCACUACUUAUGGCCAUGUGUUUUUCCUAUUUUCAUGAAUCUUUCAUGAGAGAAACUCCAACUUUCACUUUGAGAUGACACCAUCUCGAAAUUCAUAUAGGUGAAUUUCAUUUUGUAUUUAUUUAUUAAGAUAUAUAUCCUUGAUAAAGAAAUUCAUUAAGAUUUUGAAAAAUUCAACUCUCAAUAUGUAAUAAUCAACAUUGUCAUAAGAUGUUGCAUAAUCAACCAACUCAACGACUUGUUGUUACCCAUUGAAUCUUAGGUUAUGGUUUAUUAACUUCUGAUUGGAUUUCUACCAUUGUCGGAACUCUUAUUCUGGCACAUAAUUUAUCACGUAAAUUAAAUAUAAAAUAAAACAACGUAGGGUGUCACACAUUCAUAACACACAUGACCUGCUCCGUAAUACGGGUUUUAACAAUAAAUUUCAAUACACACAUUUGUAAUAAGGAUGUUUACACGAUAUCCCACUUAUCUGAAUCAUAGCUCGGAUGUUUACACGAUGUCCUUCUCAUCUUAUUGGUAUUAGAUAUUCACAAAAUAAGACAUUCAUAACUUGUCACUGUAUGCUCACUUCCAUUUUAAAGUAUCAUCGCAUCGGAAUUAUCAUCACAAUUAUGGAAGAUAAAGCAAGUAAUAACAUCUAGUCUCAACUUCAAUUGUAAUAAUAAAAUAAGAGGGUUCUAAUCAAUCAACUCAACAUCUUAAGAAUUCUCAACAACAAAAUUAGUCUUAUGACUUCAACAUAAUCAGACAUAAGGAAUAUAAUAAGUGUUUAACCUAACCCGAUGCUACCUUCCACUUACUUCAGCAAUACUACUCUUGAGUAUCUGCACGAUGCCCAUGUAAAGACAACAUUCAAGUAGAAGGGGUGAGAAUUCAUUUCAAUAAUAACGAUAUAGAAUGAAGAAUAGAUUACAACAUCUACACAAUCAUGCACAACAAUAUAUCACAUUCUUACAUCCAAAUCAUAAUCAACAUCAUACACGACAACAUCUCAAUUAUCAUCAAUGUCAUACAAAACCAUAUCUCAAUUAUCAUUAACAUCAUAUACAACAACAUCUCAUCCAACAAUACAUCAACAACAACCAAUACAAAUGCAACACUUAUGCAAUAUACUCAACACCGACUCGACAUGCACAUGGUAUCAAAUAUGAACACUCAGGUUUAUCUCACUCCAUGAUCCCCAUCAUAGGAUCGAUUCCCUCUUGGAACUGGAGCACACCAAAUCGCUACCAUCAUCAUAGGCAAUGCUCCACUAAUCCCCCAUAAUAGGAAUUAAUUACUCGCACUCGAUCCAUCACAACGGGAUCGAGGCUCACAAAAACUCGUUACCAUCAACAUAGGUAACACUUCACUAAUCCCUCAUAAUAAGAAUUAGCUACUCGCACCUGAUCCAUCACCAUAGAAUUGAGGUUCACCAAAAUUGGAGCGAAGCCUGUACACCAAGAUGCAUGACUCUCAAAUAACAUGCAUUAACACAACAAGGUUCACCUAAAGGAUCCCUACACACAUCUCAUAAUUUAUGCAUCGCAUCAUUCAUCAUGAAGUAACCAAUUCAUGUUUCCAUGUGAAUAAUAUUAACAAAAAACAAUAACUUGUUAACAUCUUAACAUCAUCGACAUAACAACAUAAUCAUCACACCACAAUAUUACAACAAUGCAACGAUUCAUCAACCAGACGUAUAAACCAAUACAUUUAUUAACAUACUAGGCAUAUGAAUAUUAUUAAAAUAUAUAAACAAUUACUACCAUGUUAUAGGUAUGAGCAUUAGCUUUCUAACGCUUCCAACGACAUCAAAAUCGGACUUACAAAUAAAAGUUAUGACCAAAAUCGUCGGGAUAUGUCAACAAUUCAUUAACCGUACGUAUGAACAAAACUUUCACCAACACAGUAGGCAUAAGAAUAAUACUUAAACAAUUCACUUAUCACCAUCAUGUUAUAUCUCUUAGAGUCAACUUUCUAAUGCUUUAAACCCUAACCCAAAAUGAUUCACGAGUUGAAAGUUAUAAUCAAAAUCGUGCACAAAGGUGUUACUAUAAAUUGUUGUUUUCUAAAAUUUCCAACACAAUUUUCAUCUUUUUCAACCCCAAAAACGUCCAUGAAAUAAUCACUAAAAUUAUUUUAUCCCUGAAACAAAAUUAUAGCACUCUACUUCAGAUAUCCAACGCUUCAAACGACACUCAAUUUGGACUUACGGACCAAAAGUUAUGGCCAAAAUAAUUUCGACCGAAAUACACACAAAAAAGGCUCACGCGCUUAGCGCGGUCGUGACGGACAGAAUGCAGAAUUUUCUACAUUUUUCAUUGUUGGAGGCCUUCCGGACCUCCGAUUUCAAUUCCGUAUAAAACCAAAUGCUCGGAAAAUUACAACUCAUGCAAUACUCUAAUUAUCUAAAGUUAAUUUACAGUUAUAACAUAAUUAAAUUAUUUAAUUACAGUUUUAAGAUUAUGCCUAAAACAUUCGAAAUUGCAACAAUGGUGGAUAUAUGUUCAAUCAUAAAAACAGAAAAAUACAUGCACAUAAGGGACACGAAAUUCAUCAUAUAAUAACCAUCAUAGCAUCCAAAUUCAAAAUUAUGAAUCAAAACACUCAACCCUAAGGAGGUUAAAGAUUCCUCCAUUCUACCCUUCUACCAUAUCCAUUACUAUCGGAACUAGUUCUCACCCUUACCUAACUUCCUUGCAAAAAUUCUAAAUUGAAACCUUCACUCUCUUCCCUUGAUCACUUUUCCUAUUUCCUCUUUACUCCUUUUUCUCAAAUGUCACGUACUGUGAAAAUCUCCCUAAAUCUAGGUUCCUCUUAACUUUUUAUUUUUAGGGUAAACUUUUCUAAAUCACCAACUUGACCCAAAUUUAAGUAUCUCAUAUUCCUUCCUCCCACUAACUUUCUCAAUUUCUCAUAUUUGGCCCAAUUAUUCUAUCUUCACUAAUUAAUAUAAUAAAAAUAAAUAAAAAAUUAUUUUUAAUUAUCAAAACAAUUCUAAAUUAUUCUACUUACUUCUAUCAUCCCUCUAUACCUUUAACUCAAGGAUACAUACUCCGUCAACACUCAGGCAUAAAAUAAAUCAUCAAAAUAUAUAUUUCAAACAAUUAAAAUAUAAUAAAAUAUCUAAUAAAAACGGGGUCUUACAGUCUUUACUAAGUCUUUGGUCAGUGGCUUAGUAAAUGGAUCAGCUAAAUUAUAGUUUGUUCAUAUAUAUGUCAGUGAAAGGAAUCCAUCCUUAAUUAAUUUUCUCACGAAAGAAUGUCUAAGACCUAUUUGCCUAGACUUUCCAUUAUAUACUUCACUGAACGCUCUUGCUAGGGUGGCUUAGCUAUCACAAUGUAUCAACACUUUUGAAACAUUGUCUUUAGCCAAUGAAACUUUCAACAGAAGGUCCCUUAACCAUUCAGCUUCUUGACCAUCGGAAGCAAGAGCCACAAACUCUAAUUCCAUAGUCGAAAGAGUAAUACAUGUUUGUUUCUUGCUCUUUCAAGAAAUCGCACCUCCAGCCAAUGUAAAUAUUCACCCUAUUGUAUAUUUAUGAUCUCUAACACUCGAUAUUUAACUCGCGUCGGUAUAUCUUUGUAGUAUGGCAGGAAACCUAACAUAAUAAAGGUCAAGAUUUUUAGUUUUUAAGAGGUAACCAAAAAUCCUAUUUAUGGCCUUCCAAUGUUCACCAUUUGGAUUUCUAGUAAAUCUACUCAUCUUACUAACUGCAAAUGUUAUGUCACGUCUGGUACAUUUCAUUAAAUACAUUAGACAUCCAAUUGCACUUGAUAUUCCAAUUGGGCCACAAUUCUUCCAUUGUUCUUUUGAAUUUUGACACUAGGAUCAAAUGGAGUGCUUACUUCCUUAAAGUGUAGGUGUUUGAACUUAUCCAACAUUUUCACAAUAUAAUGUGUUUGACUAAGUUCAUAACCCCCACUUAUUCGUUUUACUUUGAUCCCUAAAAUAGUGUGAACUAAUCCAAGAUCUUUCAUCUUGAAUGUGGAAGUUAGAAAUUAUUUUUGUUUCUAAAAUUCCAUUCAUCUCAUUGCUAAUGAUCAACAUAUCAUCAACAUAUAGACACAAAAAUAUUACAAUGUUUCCACGCACCUUUAUGUACAAACAUUUUCACAAGAAUUUGGAAUAAAUCCAUUUGAAAGUAUGAUAGAGUCAAACUUUUGAUGUCAUUGUUUUGGUGAUUGUUUUAAACCAUAUAAUGGUUUGACAAGUUUGAAUACCUUUUGUUCAUUUCUAGGAAGCACAUAACCUUCUGGUUGUUCCAUGUAGAUUUCCUCAUCGAGAUCUCCAUUUAAGAAUUUUGUUUUAACAUCCAUUUGAUGAAUAAUAAGGUCAUUCUGAUAAGCUAAUGCAAACAAUACUCUUAUUGUCGUCGUCCUUGUUACAGGUGCAUACGUGUCGAAAUAAUCAACAUCUUCCUUUUGUCUAAACAUUUUUGCUACUAAUCUAGACUUGUAGGUUUUUAAUGUACCAUCACUAUGAUAAUUUUUUCUAAACACCCAUUUACAUCCAAUGGGCCUUGAACCCUUUAGAUGAUCGACAAGUUCCAAAGUGUGAUUUGAUAUGAUCAAAUCCAUUUCGUCUUCGAUAACAUCUUUCUAAAAAGAAGAGUCCACUAAAGCCAUUGCUUCUUUAUAGGUUUUAGGGUCAUCUUCUAAUAGGAGAAUAAUAGGGAUCUUAUGAACAUCAUUCUUGCAAUUUCCUUCAACUAGAUAAAAGGAAAUGAGCUGAGAAUCGAUUUCAUUUGGUCCUAAAACUUUAGCUUUUCAGGUUCUUUUGCUUAUCCUAGGCUUAGGUUGUGUUUCAACAAUUCCCGAGAUAUUUUCGGGUUCUUCUUCAACAAUUCAUGGAGAGUCUUCAUCACGAGAUUCUUCAUUCAUGGGAAUCUCAUAUUCCUUAUCUUUCGUGAUAAGUUUUUCAAAAAACUCCACAUCUCAGGAUUUAAAAAUUACGUUAGACUCCAAACUUAAAAGUUGAUAUGCCUUGUUGUUGGAUGCAUAUCCUAUGAAAGCACAUUUGAUCCCUCGAGGACCCAAUUUAGUUAUUUUAGGAUUCAUAUUCUUAUUAUAUGUCACACACACCCACACUAUAAAAUAACUAAUAUUUGGUGAUCUACCUUUCCAUAUCUCAUAUGGAGAGAUACCAGUUAACUUUAAAGAAAUCCUAUUCAUUAUAUGACAUGUGGAUAGUAAUGCUUCACCCCACAAAUUAAAUGAAAAUUCAGAAUGCAUUAACAUAGCAUUUAUCAUUUUUUGAUAUGUUCGAUUCUUUCUCUCGGCUAGACCAUUUUAUUAUGGUAUACGAGGUGUGGAACAUUCAUGUAUAAUGUUUUAUUCUUCACAAUAUGCAUUAAAUUCCAUAGAAAAAAAUCACCACCCCUAUCACUUCUAAGGACUUUGAUACUUCUACUUAAUUGAUUUUCGACUCCCGCUUUACAGAUUUUAAAGGCAUUUAAAGCGUCAUAUUUAUGCUUUAGAAGGUAUACAUAUGUGAACCUAGAGCAAUCAUCAAUAAAGGUUAUGAAAUACCGGUUCCCCCCACGGAUUAGCAUGCCAUUAAAUUCACACAAACCAGAGUGCACCAUAUCAAGCGAAUUUGAUUUUCUUUCAACACUUUUGAAAGGUUUGUUGAUCUUUUUUUAUUUGACACAUAUUUCAUAUUUUUCGAAAUCAUGAAUAUUGCAUGAGAUCAAACCAGAUUUAAUUAGUUUGUUCAUAAUACUAAUAUCAAUAUGUGCUAAUCUAUAAUUCCAUAAAGAAGUAGAUUCAAGCAUAUAAGAAGAAUUAGAAAUUUCAUUAAUAAUAUUAUCGGUAGUACAAUGUUUGAUCAUUUCCUCAGCAAGAUAUCAUUUUCCUACAAAUACACCAUUACGGGUCAAUAUUAGUUUGCCUAAUUCAUAUACAAACUUAAUACCAGCUUUUUCCAACAAGUCCCCACUAACUAGGUUCUUACUCAUGUCGGGUACAUGGAGUACAUUGACAAGAGUAACUUUCUUUCCAGAAGUAAAAUUCAGUUCGACGGAUCCUUUUCCAACGACUCUAGAUCGUACUUCAUUUCCCAUAUGCACUUCUUGUCCAUCAUUUACUUCAGAAUAGUUUUUAAAUGCUGCUUUGUCAUAAGAAACAUGCACGAUAGCAUAUGUAUCAUACCACCAUCCUUGCAUUUUGCCUUUGAUUGCCAUAAUCUCGCUCUUCGUAGCAACUAUGUCGUCAUUUGCAUGAAUAACAUUAACUUCGUUUUUGAACUUGUUAUGCAUGCAAUCUAGAGUAUAAUGACCUGGUUUUCCGCACACAUAGUAGCCGUCUUUUGGUCCGCCGGAGUUCUUGAACUUGUUAUGUUCUUUCUUAGGGCCAAGAUGGUUCUUCAUGUCAUCAUGUUUCCUCUUUUCUUUUCCAAUCACAGCAUUGGCUUUAGAGUAUCCAGGAGACUCUAACGUUUCUCUAUCUUUCAUAUCCUCCUCGAUUCGAAUGUGUUUCUGAAGUUUCUCCAACGAGAAAUCCUCAUAAUUAUGCAACAAUUUCGUUAUGUAUCAUUUCCACGAAGAUGGAAACUUUGCAAUGAUUGCACCAACUUGGAAAGCUUUUGAAAUGCCUAUUCUUACAACUUUUAUUUUAUUCACGAGAACCUCUAACUUGUGUACUUGUGCAAGAAUAGGCUUGGAAUCUAUCAUUUUAAAAUCAAAGUAUUUAGAUAUUAAGACCUUUUUCGUACCUUCCUCUUCAGCCUUGAAUUUGAACUCAAGUGUUUUCCAUUUUCUGUUGCAGGCUGAGUAUCCGUAUAGAGGUCGUAAAGAACAUCAUAUAGCAUAUUCAGGAUAUGUGCACGUCAUAUCAAUUCAUCCUCUUUACGUUUCUUGCGCUCAUUCUUGAGUUCAUCAGAGUCAUCCUCGGUUGGUUCAGGAAUUAGUGUCAAGUUAGGAUCUAAGACAUAGUGAACCUUCAGAGCGGUCAGUAGGAAUGUCAUCUUGUUUUGUCAUCUGGUGAAAUUGAUUCCAUCAAAACGAUCCAAAUUGACAAGGUCCUGGUUCAUAACUUUGAUGCUUGAAACUACAACGAUUUUGAACGCAAAAAUACCCAGGAUAAUUCAGCCACGUAAUCGAAUAUGCACAAGAUUGGUGAAGAUUCGAAUGCAAGAAAGUGUAUCAGGAAUUAAUGAGAAGAGGACGCAUGAUUUUGAUAUGUUAAUUUUUGAAUACUGGGCAAUAUAUUUAUAGGUCAUGCAUGUGUUGUUUCACAAGGUUGCAACUUUUGAUCAAACAACACAUUUUCAGCAUAGGUUUGCAAUGAUUCGCCUAUAGAUACAUUAUGCACCAGUUCAUGAAGUGUUGCAUGUUUCAGAUUCACUACGCCAAAUAAGGGAAAAGAGGGCGCUUAUUUUGGCCUAUAACAGCGCUUUUAAGCGCCCUUUAAUCUGGCGCUGGCAUAGGUAAAGACAGCGCUUUGUUUUCCUGGAGAAAGCGCUGUCUAAAGUGGCCACAUUAUAGUGCGCUUUAAGACAAAAGCGCCCUCUGGAGUGGUCCAUAAAGGGACACCUUAGGAGGGCGCUUUCUGGAGAGCCCCUCUUAAAGUUGUCAAUGUAAAGUGUUUAGAGGCGCUUUCAGGAAAAGCGCCCUCUAAGUGUCAAUGUAAAGUGUUUAGAGGGCGCUUUCAGAAAAAGCGUCCUCUAAAGUUGUCAAUGUAAAGUGUUUAGGGGCGCUUUCAGGAAAAAGUGCCCUCUAAAGUUGUCAAUGUAAAGUGUUUAGAGGGCGCUUUCUGGACAAAGCGCCCUCUAAAGUUGUCAAUGUAAAGUGUUUAGAGGGCGCUUUCUGGACAAAGCGCCCUCUAAAGUGUUAGUUAUUUUAAAAAAAAUUGUUUGAAAAACAGUGGAUAUAUAUUUAAUUGUAACCUGUUCGCAUGCUGCAAAAGUGUAAAAUUCAUAUGAUUUCAUCCUUUAAUCCAAUGUUAUAACCAUUAAUCCAUUGAUAUAUACAACAUGAAUCCAUUUAAUAUCACACAUUAAUCCUCCAUAUAUACAACAUUAAAUAUAUGAUUCUUUGAUCAACAAUAUACAACAACAUAUUCUCAAAGUACUACAAUUAAGAGAAUAAAAACAUAGCAACCAACACCCAGUGACCACUGUAUCCAAAAGCUGUCUAGUAGUUCUAACCAAUACUAACAAAAACGCCCAUCCACCCAUGGUGGCAAACAUGUUAUGUAUAUCCAAAAGCUGUCUAGUAGUUCUAUCGCACAUCCAUACAAAUAAGGCUCAACCAAAACAACAGAUGAGCAAGCAUAAGUAGUGUCCCCUGCAAAAAGAAACGUCCAAUGCAAAAUAAAACACAGAACUGUCAAAGGCGAUUGAGCAACAAAUAGUAAACAAUGGCAUAAAGUUAAAUGACAUAGCUAAUAUUACCUGAAUUCCUGCAUGGCUGUUAAGGUAAAAUCAAAUUCCCUAGGGUGACAAAUGCUGGUGUCUACCACGGUUCCUUUGACAAUUUAGAACAACAAAAUCAGCAAAAGUGAUAAAUUCAAAUGAUAAUAUUACAGCUGCGUUGAGAAAUAUAUUGAAAAACCUGCAUAAUAUUUCCACUUCUAUCGGUCUCUUUGGGGUUGACAGGAAAGAGACGGUGUGAUGUCUCUUUUGGACCACUACAAAAGUAACUUUAGGUAGAUACCAUCUCUCUAUUGAGACAAAAGCCUGAUGAAAAAAAAUUAAAAUUAAACGCAGAGAAUUUAGUGGUGUAUUUUAUGAACGACAAAGUAACAAGAAAUAAACUUUGAGAAGUCCUAAAUUCUGCCUACAAUACAGUGCUGCAAAGUUGAUGCAACAAAAACAUAUAACAAUAUAUGGUAAGUACCUGUAUCUCCGACCAUAUUUUUUCUUUGCCAACCUUCAAGUCCGGACUUCUCCAAUUAUCACAUGUAACGGAUAUGUUGUCGAACAAGGAAACCAAUGUAACUUGCCAAACAUUGAACCCUUAUCUUUUGAAGAUAGAAUUGAUAUAUGUUUAGAUGGACAUGUUCCAUUGUCGUAGAGGGAUACUUUCAAAUAUCCAGCAUCAUCAUCUACGCGAGUGAGGCUUGACGACAAUAGAGCAUCUCCAUCUAACAAAUAUCCAGCAUCAUCAUUUUACCUGUAAAAAGAAAACAAUUAAAAUCAGAUGACAAAUGUAAAAGCAAUUAAAUCAUAAAAGUCAUUUUACCUGUAAUAAAGAAAACAAUUAAAUCAUUUGACCUGUACCUUUUUCACUAAGUUCUCUUUCUUUUCUUGGUUGGAUAUGUUCUACAUGUCUCUUAACAACACGGACGGUUGGAUUGAUCCAAAUCCCUCAUUAUGAUCAUUCUCAUAUAUGAAUCAUUUGAUAUAAUAUUCUCAUCUUGACCAUUUCUGGUAAACGAUUCAAUCUCAACAUCAAUAUCACCUUGAUCUCCAGUGUUUUCAUCAAUUACUUGUUGGAAAAAAGAACUAUAGACCUUUCGUACUUUUCGGAUCAUUGACAUAGAACACUUGUCUAGCUUGAGAGGCUAGAGUAAAAGACUCAUCUUUGUAUCCCACCCUAUUAAGAUCCACUUGCAAAUCCUGACUUAUCCAUUCGAAUGCCGUUAUUAUUUUCAACCACUUGCAACCAAAUAUAGGAAUCUGAAACUUCUCAUAAUCAAAACACCCAAAUGCGCUCGAUAACACCAAAAAUACGACAGAUUUGCAAAUUUGGGGGUUUAAGUCCUUACACUUGAUAUGUGCAUUGCUUCAGCUACCCGGUGACACCACUAUUCUGCAUAGUACUUUUAUCAUCUUGUUCUUUGGUAUAAAAUGUGUAUCCAUUAAUCGCGUAUGCGCUAUAAGAAAAAACAUGGAAACUUGGACCAUAUGCUAAGCACUCAACCUUUCUGUUAUUGAAGCGGGAUCUGAAUAAUACUUUGAAUAAAUAUGAUCCUUAAACCAAGGUAUAAAACAUCGAUUGUGCUCUCGUACUAUCCAAUUUUCAUUCUAUUUGGGAUUUAAACCUCAGAGAACAUCCUUGUGAAUUUCAACAUAGGCUCAACCUCAUUCUCAUUGUGCAGAACAUACAAAUGCACUUGAUCCGUUCGACCCUUGAUACUGCCACGAUUUUAUUUCCAAUUAGAUUUUUUCCUUCUUUCUUUUCGACAAGCUGAGACUUGGGGAGUCGAUGACUGAACAUUAGACAAUAUUCAGUACCAAAACUCAAUCGCUUCUUCAACAAUGUAUCUUUCAACCAUACAACCUUCUGGUCGACUUCGGUUCUUCACGUACCCUUUAAUAUUUUCAUAUAACGUUCAACAGGGUACAUCCAUCUCAUAUAAGCUGGUCCAUACAAUUGUGUCUCUUUCACAAGAUGAACACUAGAUGUAACCAUUAUGUAAAAAAAAUGAUGGAGGAAAACAUUUCAAGCUCACACAAGUAUAAGAUUUCUUUUUGCACAUUGUGAUCGCAGGAUUGAUCACCUUACUGCAAUUGACUUGAAGAAAGAACACAACUUAUUUAUAGAGUCUUACUUUUCUGGAAGAAUAGAACGUAUACCUAUUGGGAGAAAAUGUUCCAUUAUAACAUGGCAAUCAUGGUCUUUAAACUCUUUAACUUGAGGUCUUUCAUAGCACAAGUCUUCUAUAUCUGAAGAGUACCCUUCUGGAACUUAACUUCACUUAGAAACUUACACAUGUUUUUUUUCUCCUUUCUAGAUAGAGUAUAAGCAGCAGGCGGUAGAUAUGUUCGUUUUCCUUUCUUCAAGGGUCCUAAUUCAGUUCUUAUUCCCAUCGUUAUCAAGUCCUUUCUUGCCUUAAGGCCAUCCUUAGACAUUCCUUGUAUAUAUGAGUAACGUGCCAAUAACACUUUCAAAUACAUUUUUUUCAAUAUGCAUAACAUCAGAAAAUGUCUCACAUACAAGGACUUCCAAUACGCAAUUCAAAAAAAACUGACCUCUUUCUUCCACCCACUUUUGACAAGGUGUGGGCAAAAGGCUUGCCAAACUGAGUAUCCAAAUUCUUUCACCUUUUCAAAAAUUGAUCACCCGUCAAUAUAGGUGGAGCUCUGCCUUGUUCUGUCUCUCCACUUGAACGCCUUUCUCCAUCCACGGUAUGAUGAUUUGAAUUUAAGAAUCUCCGAUGACCGAGAAAGACAUUCUUCUGACCAAAACUCCAAGCGCUUCAAUCUGUUUUAUCUUCACAAAUAGGACACGCACAUUGACCUUUUAUGCUAUACCCUGAUAGAUUUCCGUAUGCUGGAAACAUUAAUUGUGCCAAACAACAUCGCCCUCAAGUUGAAACUUUCUUUCCUAUAUCCAUCAUAAACCUCCACAGCGUCUCCACAAAAUCUUUAAAUCUCGAUUAAGGCUUCAAGUACACGUCCUAUGUCAUUCCCUGGUUGUUUAGGUCCAGAAAUCAACAUAGACAACAUCAUGUACUUACGCUUCAUACAUAGCCAUGGAGGUAGGUUAUAAAUCAAUAAUCACAGGCCAUGUACUGUGUGAGAUACUCUGGAUACCGUGUGGGUUCAUUCCAUCAGUAGAUAAUGCCAAGCGAAGGUUUCUUGAUUCUUCUCCAAAUUCAGGAUAAUCAUUAUCAAUUUUCAAACCUGUGGUGAAUCUGCCGGAUGUCGUACUUUCCAUCUAUAAUUCUUUCAUCUGCAUGCCAGGUCAAGUGUCUUGAAUCGGUUUCACUACGAAAACAUGCGUCUAAACUCAGAAUAACAGGAAAAUACCACAGACCUUUGCUGGAGACAACUUGUUCUUAUAUCCGAGACACCGCAUUUAGGACACUCAUUUAACGAUGCAUACUCAUUUCGAAACAAACGCAAUCGUUUGGACAUGCAUGUAUCUUAUCAUAGCUCAUGCCAAUAGAGCACAACAUCUUUUUGGUUCAUAUGUUCGAUUGGGAAGAACAUUAUCCUCAGGAAGCAUAUCUUUCAAAAGGGCUAAUAACUCUGUGAAACUUUAUCCGACCACCCAUUGCCCGCCUUUAAGUUGUACAACUUUAAUACCGCAGACAAUCUUGUGAAUUUAGUGCAACCAUCAUACAAAGGUUUCUCUGCAUCACUUACCAACCUCUCAAACAUUUCGGGACAAUCCUUAAGAUCUCCUUCAAUGCUUCUGCAAUCUCUUCAACUCGAUCACAAUCGUAUUGUAUCUGCGCCACUAAGUUUGAGGCAUAGGUCGUACUAUCCCCCGUUAACAUUCUCGUUACUUUUCUCACCAUGGCAAAUUCCAACAUGUAUAACUUCGAUCAAUUCCAUGCCUCAUUAGAUGCGUGUCAACUGAACUGCGUCAACCCGUUUCCCAUAACAACAACCCAAGCAAGGACAUAUCAUUCUACUGGGUCUUCGGCGGUGCGCAACGGCAAACUUAACGAAUUCUGAUACCCCAUUCUCGUACUCUCUCGACAUCGAUUGGAAGACAUCCAUGUAUUAUCCAUUACUAAUUAGAAUAUAAAAAACAUUUCAGAAAGAGUUCAAACACAUUCGGACCUAGGUUUCUAAUGAUACUGGGUUGACACAAAAUCAGAUGUUUCAUAGGUUGUAUAACCCAUUGCAUCCGCAAUCAUGGUCACUAAAAACCAACCGUCAAUUUCCUAGUGCAUCCGCUAUCAUGGUCGAAACAAACGUAGAAGGAGGAAACGCGCAGUAUAAGGUAAAACAGAAAUUGGGCAAAGCUAAAACAAGCAAUAACAUAAACAGUAAUUGGAAAAGCGUGUACCUUUGAUUGGUAGAAGGAGGAAACGCGCAUGUAGAUCUAACAGAGGUGGAAGGAAAACGCCUCAGAACCCUAACGUGAAAAAGAACGCUAAUAACAGAUAGUGAAAUAACAAAAUGCGCGGUAUGUUAUAAUUUAAUGUUUACUAAAGGGGACAUUAGAGGGCGCUUGUGGAAAAAAAGCGCCCUCUAAAAGGGGCCUAAGAGGGCGCUUAUGAAAGCGCUCUCUAAGGCUUUCCAGAAGCGCUUUAUAAGCUGGAAAUGCACGUGGACUUAUAACAGCGCUUUAUUAAAAACGCCCUCUAAGGGUAACCUUAGAGGGCGCUUUCUAUAAAGCGCCAUGUAUUGUUGUCCCUCUAUCUCCUCCUUAUUUUUUCGUUUCACCUUAGAGGGCGCUUGUGGAAACAAAGCGCCCUCUAAAGGGGACCUAAGAGGGCGCUUAUGAAAGCGCUCUCUAAGGCUUUCCAGAAGCGUUCUAUAAGCUGGAAAUGCACAUGGACUUAAUAACAGCGCUUUCAUUAAAAAGCGCCCGUCUAAGGCCGUAAACCUUAGAGGGCGCUUUCUAAAAAGCGCCAUGUAUUGUUGUCCCUCUAUCUCCUCCUUAUUUUUUCGCUUCACCUUAGAGGGCGCUUUAUUACAAAAGCGCCCUCUAAAGUGAGUCGCUUCACUUUAGAGGGCGCUUUUGUAAUAAAGCGCCCUCUAAGGUGCGCUGUCUAAUCCAGUUUUUGGCGUAGUGAUUCAAAAUUCAGACUUGCAUCAUGCGUAAGUGCUCAAGUGCCCCCUACAAGCCGCCUCUACGCCCACGCCCCUGAACCCGGUCUCGGAGUCGGUGUCGGUGUUGACCAGCAAGGGGUUGUUUGGAUGAGACAUGUGGCGUAAUGUUUGGGACCAUCACAUUUGUCCAUAUGACACUUUAUCCUCUUUAGCUCCUUUGUUGAGUUUAAUAUUUUAAGUUUUUAUAAAUGCUUUUAAAAUAAGGAUGGCUUUUUAUGUAGGACUAUUGGCAAUACUUUUAUUGUCAUUAACUCAACUUCAUAAUUUCCAACAAGAGAAUCUCAUCUAACAGUAAAUUUCAGGAUCGGUACCUAUAUCUCCCUCGUCGUCUUGCUGCCCCUGCUGAUCGGAUUUCUUAUCGCGGUAGAUUCGAAAGCAAGCUUGAAACUCAACGCUACGUCAAAGAAUUCUUCCCUGACGCUAAUAUUGUUCAUUUCUUUGACUCCUUCAGCUGGAGAAUUCCGUCUGGUCUUCCUGGUCUGUCUCUUUGCUUUGUUCUGACUUUGCUUUUCUUCCUAAUGUUUCGUUAUUAGUCUUUUCUCAAUGCUAUUAAUUUUCUAUUUAUUAACAAGUUAUAGAUAGGGGCUUUUGAAUGUAUAAACUGUAAAAGCUCAUUUUAACUUGCGUUAGAUACUUGUUGUAAAGCUUUCCUGCAUGUUUAGAUAAUUAUAGUGACACAUAACAUACAAGCUUUUCUGCAUAGUAGGCCAUAUGAAUCCUGUGGCUGGUGGACUUCUUCAUCAGUUAGAAUUAAAAGUGCAGCCAGAAUCUGAUCCCGACAUUGGUGGAUGCAAAGCUGGGAGAUGUGCAGCAGUUUGAUUUUGGAUGAAGAAAAAGAAAAUUCACAUGUUGCACCGAUGCUAUCUGUUGCGGUAACGACAAUGUUGUGAUGGAUACUAUUGAUGACGAAGGUACUUUAAAGCAUUUAAAUGUUCAAAAAGGAACAAAAUCUUUUUGUUAUCAAUCCGAGUUAUCAAAACUUGAUGCUGAGUGUGAUAAGGCUAUGGAGGAUCUUGAAAAAUCACAGAAGUAUGAAUAUAAGGUGGCAGAGGAAAGCCUUCAUACACAUAAGAAAUAUUUACUAAAUAUUUCUCAACGACUCGACAAAGAGAAGUCUGAGUUAGCAGGGCAGUCCAGCACAUCUCGUUCAAACUUGUUUCAAACUAUAGAGAAAAGAAAUGAGCAGCUAAGGCGGGAAUUGAAGAAAUUUGAAGAAAUGAAGAAGGUAGCUAAUGGUUUUGGCAGCACAUCUAAAGUAAUUUUAGAACAGCACUUUGGCUUGUAAAUUGCAUUAUAAAAUUAUAGAGAUUACAGACAAGGGUUGAAUAAAAUGGCUAUGGGGCAUGGUAAUGGUUUUACUGCCAAAUAGUAAGUAUAAAUUAAUUCCUACAAAAACAGCCUGAAUAUAUUUAUUUGAAGUCUUUAUCUGAUAGCCUCUUAAAAAUAGCUAAAAUGAUACAUGUGGUCUUUUAUGUUAGUCCUAAAUUUUAGAUAGAUAUCCUUUCACCCCCAAAUUGGUCUUUAAAUCUCAAAAUGUGCAUGUUGUUGUCUGUUUUUUUUUUUUGUACUUCCUUUAAACUCUGUUAUAUUCUCAAUCUUCACAAGCUAUUAUUAAAACUGAAACUAUUAGAUAGGCAUGAAUGAAAGGGGGGUCACUAAAUGGCACAAAAUUAUCCCCAUGUUGCAAGGUUAAAGAGAGAACUAAACAAAUAUUUCACUCCGUAAGUAAUAUUUCAAAGUUCAUUAAUGUAUUUUUUUUUGAGUUAGGAGACUGUUUGGGUGGGUUCACUCCCUAAGUGGGACCCAAUGAUUAAAAGAAAAUUAAUUGCAUAUGUGUUAUGGUUUAAUUUGGCUAAAUCCACAUCAGCCUCGAGAAAAGGGAAACUAAAACUAAAAUAUAUAUAUUUUUAUUGUUGUUCAGCUCCUUCAAAAGAUUCAUUAACCAUACAGUUAAGCACGCAUAUAACGAAGCAGUAAUGUACUCGAUCUCACAAAAUGAAAGUGAAAUUAUCGGUUCCUUCUUCGAACACCAUGAGAUUGGUGUUUCACCGAGCAUAAAGAUGUAUCCAGUUGUAGACUUUUAAUCGUCUUUAUCUCUGGACUAAUUGAAAUCGAUAAAAUCGAGAAAAUUGCAUUUUAUACCCGUAUCUGCUGCCGGGAAGAUAAUUCUGCAGCCAAUUAAUCAUUUGAUGUAUCUUAGGAUCCUCUUGACUCCUGCCAAGUGAGACACCUUUGGUCUUCCCAUGAAUCUACCUACAAUACCGACACUAAAUACCAAGUAUGGAUGCGUAUUGCACAAAUAGCGCAAGGAUCUAACCAGCCUCCUAUACUGAGUUGGAUUAACAUCUUGCUCACCUUCAUUCUUCGAUAGUUGUAGCCUCGGCUCAGCCAGAAUAAUGGUAGUAUUACAAUGGUCCAUUUCAAACUUCUUCAAUAUCUCAAAUGCAUAACUUCUUUGGUGCAUGAGCAGUCCCCUUUUGGACUUGUAGAACUCAAUGCAAAGAAAGUAAGUCAUAAGGCAAAUGUCGGUAAUCUCAAAUUCUUUCAUAAGUUCACUUUUAAACUUAGAAAUACACUUUCUGUUACUGCUCGUUAUCAACAAAUUGUCUACAUAUAGACAAAGGAUAAUCAUUCCUUCACUUGUAUCCGUCUUCACAUACACGCCAUGCUCGGAUACACAUAUCUUGAAACCAACCUCCUUUAGGAAACCAUUUAUUCUCUUGUUACAAGCUCUUGGAGCUUGCUUCAAACUGUAUAACACUUUCUUCAACUUGUAGAAAUUUAGCUCUUGGUUUCUCAUAACAAAACUAGGGGCAUGUUCUAUAUACACCUCUUCUUCAAGUGGUUCGUUCAAAAAAACAUAUUUGACAUCCAUUUGGUAGAUAUGCCAAUUGUUGUUAUUCGCAAUACCGAAAACUAUCCUUAUGGUUUCAAUCCUAGCAAUCGGUGUGAAUACCUCUUCAAAGUCUAUGCCUUCUCUUUGUAAGAAUCCAUUUGCAAUUAAUACAACCUUAUGUUUGAUUACUCCAUCCUUAGGAUUUACCUUCACUUUGAACACCCAUCUCACUCCAAUUGUCUUCUUCUUGUCCGAUAGAUCAACCAACUGCUAAGUAUUGUUCUUCUAAAUAGAUUGUAACUUCUCCUUCAUAGCUCAAAUCCAUUUUGGAUCACUUAAAUCCUCUUCCAUUUUAACAGGUUCAGAUUCGGCCAUAAGUGCAAAAUGGACCAAAUCACCAUCAUCAUUGGCUCCGUUGUCUCAGAACAACUCACAGUCUUGGAGUCUUUGAGGAAAACCCCUUUGCCUUGUUGAUCUUCUCACAUUUCCUUUAAUUUGGGCUUUGGUAGCGGCCUUUUCUGCAUUUCCCGUAUCUACAGAAUCUGAACUUUCAAAGUUGUAACCGAUUACAGCUUUUACGUAACUAGUUACAGGUUGCUGCAACUCCUUGAUUUCAUCGACAAUGACGUCUCGGCUGAUCAUAACCCUCCUGUUUACUACAUCAAACAACUUGUAACCACCGAUAGAGAGAUGCCCUACAAGUAUCAUUAACUCUCCGUUAUCAUCCAGGUUCUUUCUAAGCUGCCCUAGAACACGUCGAUACGCUAUGGAACCAAAAGUUCUCAAAUGGUUCAGAUUCUGUUUGAUUCCUGACCAUGCUUCCUCCGAUAUUGCCUUCUCAAGCUUUUAAAUUUGUUGGACAUGUAUUCAACAAAUAGACAGUUGUUGAAUAGCUUCUUCCCAUAACUCUUUUGGCAAGUUCUUCCCCUUUAACAUGUUUCUCACCAUGUUCAGUCAUUUAUUCCUUUCAGCAAUACCAUUUUGUUGCGGUGUAUAAGGAGGUACAACUUCAUGUACAAUACCUUCUUGAUCAACAAACCUCUCAAAGUCUUUUGAGACAUAUUCGCCUCCACCAUCUAUUUUGAGCACUUUGAACUUAUGAUCCUUUUGCCUCUUAACCAUGGAUUUGAACUUCUUAAACACUUCAAAUACCUCAUCUUUUCUCUUUAUUAGGAAUGUCUAUAGCUUUAUACUAUGAUCAUCGAUGAAUAUGACAAAAUAUUUAUUGCCACCAAUGAAAUUUACUUGCAUCAGUCCACACACACCUGAAUACACCACCUCAAGGUGAUUCUUGGUUCUACAACAUGCACCCUUUUCUAAAUUUACCCUUAUGUAGCUCCUCUUUCACACAUUCUUCAUAAAUUUUAGUCGGCAUGCUGCUCAAGGGCAAUCUCGUUACCAUUAUGUUCUUUUGCAAGUCUUUGAGAUCUCGGAAAUUGAGAUGCCCAAUAUGAUAGUUCCACAUCCAUUCUUCUCGACUUACCUCUGUAGCAAGAGAUCUAUUCUCCAUAACCUUCACCUCAAUCUUGAAAGUUCUAUUGGCAUCCAUAAGAGCUUUAAGGACCAAAACCCUUUUUGCAACCAUAAUGUGUUGCCCCUUGUUUUCCAUGUGAAUCUUGUAACCCUUAUCAAGCAAUUGUACAAUAAUUUGAAGGUUACAUUUGAUUCCAGUAAUGUAUAAUACAUCUUUGAUAAAGGAAUUUCCAUCAUCCCUACUCAUGAUCAAAACAUCAUUGAUCCCAUCGACCGCUAUAAUGGUGUCAUCCGCGAACUUCACUUUGUUCUUCAUGGAACGAUUGAUUUUAACGAACCAAUCCUUCCUCCCCCUCAUAUGAUAUAAACACACGGAUCCAAAUACAAUUAUUGACUCAUUCUCUCACAGGCACCAUGACAUUUUCUUUUGCAUGUAAUCAGUUACAUCUUUCACGUAACCGGUUACAACCCGUUUUUGCAGCAUUCCCAGAAUUGUUGUUGCCUCGUAGCAUACUGUUGUUGCAUUCACCUUAUGUGAUAAUGAAUAAGAGUAUAUUCUCUUUAUCAAACUCUUGUCUUGCAACCUUGGCUUCAUCUCCUUGAGGUUCCUUCUUGUUCACAUUUCACUCUCUUACAAAAUGACCGAACUUUUGACACUUAAAGCACUGCUUAUUUGCUUUUGUCAAACCUCUUCUUUUCACCUUUAAAGUUUCCUUGACCACCAUUUUGUUAAAACUUAUCUCAAACCUUUGACAAGUCAAAUUCUUGAAACUUUGGGACUCUCUUCCACCAAAAAUUCCGAAAACUCCCUUUACUCUUCAUGGACCAUUUUUCUUUCGAUCUCUUAUCCUUCUCAUUGAAGCAAUCUUGCAAAGAGAUCUUCGCCUUAGUCUUAUCAUUAUUUCUAUCCUCAUUACUUUGCUCAUUAGCCUCAAGAGAUCUUUGUAACUCCUAUUUGCUAAUUUUUGCAAGAUCCUACGAUUCCUCAAUCACUACAACCAUGUUUUCAAAUCUUGGCAUUAAAGAACACAAGAUUUUCGCGACAACAUAUUGCUUCGUGACUGCUUCUCCACAUGCCUUCACUUGAUUCAUUAAUCGAGUAAUUCUUGUUGUGAAAUCGUUCUUUGUCUCUUUUUCUUCCAUUUGAAUCAAUUCAAGUUAACACUUGUAAGUUUGUAACUUCACCACCCUUCGUCUUGUCAGCCCAUGUGUAUGUCUUCUCUAAGACUUCCCACGCUUUCUUCAAUAAUUCGCAAUCAUCAACUUUCUUAAAUUUGUCACCAUUCGCACAUUGAUGGAUCAACAAUAGCGCCUUGAAAUCAUUCUUCUUAUCUUCUUUAUGCAUUGCUCUUUGUGCAUCUGUUGCACCUUCGACAAAGGGAUUCAUCCCGUUCUUGAUCACUUAAAAAAAAUCUUUGUAGCCAAAUAACACUUUCAUUUGUUUAUAAUAUUUGUCAUAAUUCUUCGCAUCAAGGAUAGGUAGGUUUGCAGAGAUUCUUUCAUUGGAAACAAAAAUCAUGUUACACACUAGAUAUUUGUGGAUUAGAACCAAACUCUUGAUGUCAAAUGUUAGAACUUGGAAUCACAAGAUUGGUGAAUAAUGGAGAAAAUUAGAGUAUGGAUAAGGAAAGAGGAAUAUAUAUAUAUAUAUAUAUUAUAGUAUAUAUAUAUCUAACGAAUAUAUAUAUAUUAAAUUAAAUAUAUUAUAUAUAAUAUAUAUUUUAUAUAUUAAUUAUAUAUAACAAUAAAUAUAUAAUAUAUUAUAUAUAUAUAUAUAUAUAUAUAAUAAUAUAUAUAUAUAUAUUAAUAUAUAUAUAUUUAUAUAUAUAUAUAUAAUAUAUAUAUAUAUAUAUUUAUAUAAUAUAUAUAUAUCUAUAUAUAUAAUAUAUAUAAUAUAUAUAUAUAUAUAUAUUAUAUAUAUAUAUAUAUAUAUAUAUAUAUAUAUAUAUAAAAUAAAUAAAUAAUAGAUAUAUUUAUUGGUGUAAGCCCUAGAGGCCAAUACUUUUGGUACUUGUAUCGAAUUAUUUAUUAAUACUAAAAGGCUUUCUUUAUUAUGUUGUUUAAUAAAGUCCCUAGAAUAGAUAGUCUGUUUAAUGUAUCAAGUGUGACUUAAUCAUGAGUCACAUUAAACAUAAGACAUUAUUCUUAAAGUAUCUGUAGUCGAGCUUUUAUUGUGAAGUGGGAUAACAUUAAGAAUUAAGACUAUUAUGUAUAUAGACUGAUGAUCACAUCUCAUGGAUCAUGGAUAAGGAGUUAUCAAGUCUUAAACAUAGGUAUGAAUAUUAAGAGUAAAUUUAUACUGGAUUGACCCGCUAUGAGAAUACUAUAUAGAAUGUUAUGCAAAGUGUCAUAAGUUAUUCUCAUGGUGAUAAUGGUGUAUACCACCCUUCGACUGAACCACUAUGGACCCUAGAUGUAGAGCCGAGUGCUUUAUUGCUGAUCAAACUUUGUCCGUAAUUGGAUGACCAUAAAGACAAUUGAUGGGUACUCCACGAAGCAUGCUAAGGGACAUGAGUGACCUAGAUGGAAUUUUCCCAUCCUGCGUACAGGAUAAAUGUCUUGGGACCAAUAUUGAACUGGACAAGGAUGACACGGUCUAUGCUUAUGUUCAAUAUAGACAUAAGGGCAAAAGGGUAAUUUACACAUAAGUAUUAUCACAGAAGGAUUUUCCAGAUCACAUGACAUUUUCGUGUUUGGGUGCAGUGAUGUGUUGCUAGAUACCGCUCACUAUUUAUUUAUGUUAAAUACGUGAUUUAUAUAUAUUGGCAAUGCCAGCGAAAACCUACAGGUCACACACAAAAAGGACAGAUUGAUGAGAGAUAAAGUAACUAAGGAAUACCGUAAUGUACGGUGCACUUAAGUGAAUUGUAGAACAUCGUAAGGUACGAUGUACUUAAGUAGAAUACGAAAUAUGGUAAGGUACCAGCGCUUAAUGAUAUUGGCAUAUUAUAAGAUAUGAGCCACAUACACUUGAGUGGGCUUUUUAGCUUACAGCCACACAAGUGGUUCUAUAAAUAGAACCCUUGUGUAGAAGUUUGCAGUUGCAAUUUCGUUUCUCUCUCUCUCUCUCUCUCUCCUCUCUCCUCGUCUCUCUCUCUCUCUCUCUCCUCUCUCCUUCUCUCUCACACACCAAGACACACGACACACAAUACCACGCACACACUCAAAGCCUUCAUUCGUAGCAGCUAGCACUGAGAUUGAAGGAAUCCGUUCGUGUGGACUGAGUAGAGGCGUUAUCAUCGUUCAACGUUCAUGAUCGCUUCGUAGAUCUGCAUCAAAGGUUACAAUCGCCACAAGAGGUAACGAUUCUAUCACUAAUCAUGCCCAUUCGUAAAGAUCAUUAAAGGAGAAAUUUUAAAUUCCGCUGCAUUUUGGAUCGCCCUUCUCCUUCAGUGGUAUCAGAGCCACUUACGAAACCAUGCAUAUGAUAGUUGUUUAUUUUCUGUAUUAAUACGAUUAAAAGACAGAAUGAAUCAAAGAAUAAAUGAGUAAUAAAAUUGAGAUUGAUCAAGUUAUAUAUAUGAUAUAAGUAAUCCUGAUGCAAAAUACGGUAUAUAUGAUAUAUUGUUUCUGUUUCAUUCAUUCAAACACUUAAUGGUUGUUUUCCUUUGAGCGAUCAAUGGUCGUUUGCUUCUUGAUCCGACAUUAGUAUGGUGAAGCAAUGACGUAUGAUCAAUCAUACUGAAUCAACAAUCGAGAUGUGUUUGACGGUCUGAAAUUGGUGCAUUAGGGUUAAUGACGGCACAAGGGUUGUGUUGUCAAAGAGUUAUGCGAUUAGGGUUGUGACUGCGCAAGAGUUGUGCUUUAAAGUAUCAAGUUUUGAUGUGAAAAACGAAGUCGAUUUCAAAUGAAUUGUUCAUUAAAAUUUUCGGCCAAGGACGCUGCCCCUAAACCCCGCAAGGGGCGCUGCUCCUUGACCCCCGUUCGCUGAUCGGUCAGCGGAACCACCAUCCGCUGACCGGGCAGCGGACCCCCGGCUAACUCUGUGUAGUGUGAUUGGUUGCCGAAAUUUAAUUUGGUUUUAAUUAAUUAAAACAAUUAAAAUUAAUAAUAAUAAUGUGUUUAUUAUUAUUGUCUUGGGGUGAUCGGUUAUGACCUUAGUUUUCCUUUAUUUUGUUUUGGGUUUUAAAAUAUGACAUGCGUGUCGUGUCUCUCUUUUAAUCUCUUAAUGUAACUUCUUUUCUCAUCUCACUCCCUCGUAUGUAAAACGAGUUUCUUUUAUGUAAUGUAAUGUUAUGAAGAAAGAGAAGAAUUCAAUAUCAAAGACUCGUAUGUAAAACGAGUUUCUUUUAUGUAAUGUAAUGUUAUGAAGAAAGAGAAGAAUUCAAUAUCAAAGGAGGACAACCUUGAAGAUCUUGCUUGGAGAAACUUAGAUCGUUAUUAGGUUAGCUUAAGUUCUCUCAUUGGCUUGGGAGAACAAUUGCGCUAGGGGCCAUAACUGUUUCAUUAUGUAUGUAUGUUGAUGCAUGUGAAUGUAUGUUGAUGCAUAUGAGAUACUAUUUAUAUGAUAAAUAAGCCGGUGAGAUCAGAAUAAUUGCAAAUUCCCUCAAAUUAAAUAUUAAGUUUAUGCUUUCCAAGUUUUAGCACUCAUCAAGACUAGUAUCGAUUAAUGUAGGUUUCGCCUACGCGAGGUGCAUGUUCUAUAUUAGUAAGGUGCGAUGGGAUAAUUGUAAUAUUCAAUUGUUAAAACAAUGGGUCAAACUUAACUAAACAGAUUAUAAUAAGAUUAUAUAUGUUUAGAAGCAAUAGUUGGAAACGAUCCAUGUGAUGGAUUGGAAUAAGGAGUUAUUCACCCAACUAAAAUAUUCGAGAGUUGUAUUAGAUACAAUUGGAACCUCAAGGAUGGAUUUAUUGGAUCAAAACACAUUAGGCGGAUGCACGACUUAAAACAAAGUGAAAUAUGGAUCUCGACCCACUAGAAAAUCUUCCAACGGGAUUUUCUGAAUCAAAUGGUGAGACAAGCAUUACACACUGAUUGUGACACAAUUUACAUAAGUCGAAUAACUGAAAAACUGAAAACUCUUACUUGUAACCAGUUACACUAAACAUAUAACCAGUUACAACUGAUACAAAAUUAAUUCCCUUUCAUUGGUAACCAGUUACGUGAUUACUUUAACCAGUUACACCCAUAAUAUUUUCCCUAUUUCUUCAGGUCAAAAGUGACUUUUGCCUUGCUGUAAUCGUUUACACCCCCGUGUGAACCGGUUACAACACUAAAUUAUCAAAAUACUCUUAACAAUCUUAACCAUUUAAUUUAUUGAAUUUGGAUCUUCUCCAUCUAUAUUUUUCUCGAUCCCCCUCAAUCUUACAUGUUAACGAUUUAAUUUAUCCAAUGGUAAAAUAAAAAAGUGCACAUGCUAAGAAAAAUAUAUUGAAACAAAAUAUUUUAAAAAAAGAAAAAAAUAUCUUUAUAUAUAAAACAUCGUAAGAAAUGAAGACAACAAUUAUUUCCCAAAGUGAGACAACGAGUCGUUAUUUUUCUAAAAAAUUUUCUAGUGGAAGAGAACCCACUAAGGAGGAAGUUAGGGAACAUCUCCUUUUUAGGAAUAAAAAUCCAACUUCUGAUCGAUGUUCUAUUUUAUGUGACAACCGGGAUAACAUGGUAAAACAGGGAUGACCUGUCUUAGUUCAACCUCCUGAUUUUUGAACUUUACCCUUGGGUUGAUCCUGAGAUAGUGUGGACUAUCUCCACAUAUGGCCAUUCAAAGAAAGUGGAAGAUGAUUGCAUAGAUGUGUGUUCAUCUUCUGAUUGGACGAUUUCCCACAUUGGUGAGGGAAAUUGAAUCUGCAGUCACUAUGAAAGGUGUGCUAUCCAUUUAUCUCUUUCGAGGAGGGCUUGCUAAAUCACCUAGCCUCAUCUCCCUUCCAAAUUCUUUUAUCCUCCUGGGCGCUUGCAGAAGUGUUUCGAUAUUGAUGUGAUUAUCGAAGGGUUGGGCCAUCUAUUCGACUCUUCUUUAACUUUUUUCUCAUAUCCCGAACUUCGAAGGAUUUUUUCCGUGGUCAGGGAAUCAUUUCUAUAUGCCAUUCGAACCGGGUGUUCGACGUAUACAUGGAAGUUGGAAGAACUUCAAGGACCAUUAUAAUUUGGUAACUCCUCUGAGUCUGAGGACUCAUUCGGUAUUCUGUAAGGUUAGCUAGGAGGUGCUAGACCCUCUUCCUUUUCCUCUCAACGUCAAGAAAAAUUUAGGAAGUAUUGGUCUUGGGACCAUUUCAAACGAGAAUCCCUCAAGUAUUCUUUAGGUGAUGAUAAGCUUACCCCAUACUAGGAGUUGUUGAAGAAGGAUCUGGUGUCCUUUUGGGAACAACUAGGCUAUGAGGAGAGGAAAAGUCCUCAAGAAGUAGGGUCUAUGAAGCAGUAAAUGUGAGCUAUUAAUUUUAGUUUUAUCUUUGAUGCUUUUAGCUAGUGUUGAGGAGAUGAGAGGAAUUUUUGGUGAGGAGAGUUUUUUUAUGACAAAAUGUAUCUCCUUGUUUGCAGAUUCAAUGGCAUCUAUCAGGAUCCUUUAAGAUAGGAGGAAGAAUAUGAAAUAUAUGAAAGCUUAUGUAGUGUUAUAUUUGUGGAAUUCCUAAACCAAGGUGCCCUUGCCUAAGAGCCGUGUCGCCUGGGCGACAACCUGAAGAUUCGUCUAGAAGUAACCCUAACGUGUGAGUCUAGGGAUUCGCUUUAGCAUGCAUAAUUGAAUUGUUUGUAUUUGAGUAUAAUCAUUAUGCUUUUAGUCAACUUAUUGAGUUAAUGGAACAAAAAUCAUAUUUAAAGUUGGUUCAAGUUAUGUGUGAAGUGAAAUCUUAAAUUAUUUUGAAAAACUUGAAAAAUUGAGAUUUUGUGUGUAUGACUUGAGUCAAUCACAUUCCAUGACUCGAAUCAAAUCAAACAGAGGAGAACAUAUAGUUUUUGGUAUCUGUGAUUUGAAUCACAACUUACACCUGAUUUGAAUCAUGCAACAUCGUAACUUGAACCGCAAGUUGCACUUACUCGAAUCACACACCUUGUGUUUUCCAUUGCCUAAUUUAAAUCGAAUCACACUUUCAACUAAUUUAAAUCACAAUACUUUCCAAAUUUUUCCUAUUUGAUCUGUCCAGUUUGACUCGAAUGAAGCUUUGUACAUGACCUGAAUCAUGAGCUUUCACGACUUGAAUAAAGCUUACAACUCACUCGAAUCAUAGGAAAAUGAGAUGCUUUAAUUUAUGAGAUCCUGUUUCACUCUACUUACUCACUUAACUCAAAUCAUGAAAUGUUCUUGACUUGAAUCUAACAACCCAUUUUCACCUAUUUUAUGCAUAGUCUCCAGCAUAUAUAAAUUCAUUUUUUCAUCUUAUUUUCAAAAAUAAAUUUCAUAAUCUACAUUAUGAUUUUGCGAAAUCAACAACCCCAUCAUUUUGAAAACUUAAAGACUCUUGCAAAUAAAAAAUUAUUUCACCUUCAACCUCUAGUUUUGAUUUCAGAUCUUGAUCAUGAGACACUUGUAAUAAUUGAGGGAGACAUUGUCUUGAAAUUAAUCGGUCUUAAAGGUUUGGUAAAUAUUUUCAAUAAGCUUGCAAGAUUGUGGUUGUUGUCAUUGGUAGUGACAAAUUCCAGUAAAAAGAAUGAGGUUCUUCUCUCCAGGUUGACCUUAACAAUGACUGUAUGAAAGGCUACAAACAAGGUGGAGAUCUUCUCAAUCUUCAUACAGUACAUCCCUCAAGAAAUUGGUGGGAUUAGGGGUGGUUUCCACAUACGAAGAUUUUGAGCAUAUUGGUGAAGCUGGAAGAUUCAAGAAGCGAGAAUCAAGUAAAGAUUUCGCAUAUGAGUUUGGCAUUAAGCUAUAUACAAGUCAAGAUCCAAAUAAGAGACUUAUUUUUCUCAGCAUUAUUAUGGAUUGAUGAUUGUAUGAACUCGUUUAAUAUUUGUUAAAACUUAGUGGAAUAAAACAACUUCCAAUGGGAAACUAUUGAAGAAUGCAAUAGGCUCCUGCGUGGACGAUAGAGUCGAACAAUUAUACAACCCAAUGUACUCUCUCUCUCUCUCUCUUAUUUAAUUUUUGCAGGCUAUUGCAUGUGUAGGUUCUUUUCUUAGCAUAGUUUAUCGUUAAUUCCUGUUGCAAGUGAUUUAUUAUGUAAGUGUAGAUUUUGUUGGAACUGGAGCCUAAUUUAGUUUUAUUGGUGAUUUAAAUUUGCAGAGUAAUGAUGUUAGAAUCCUAAAAUAAUUGAAUUUUUGUAAAGGACGCAUUUUGUGUAGUUUACAAUUUAUUAAUUCAAUAUAGCUAACAACUUUUCGUGUAUGCUCCUUGAACGAUCUGUGGUAUUUGUGAAUUGUGUAUUUGUAAUUGUGAUUGAUUUCUAAUACAAGCAUAAGCUCUCUAUUUUGUCUUUAAGAUUUCAGUGCGUUUGAACAACUCUGAUAUCUCACUUUUAGUAUCGGUCAAAUUUUUGAAAAUGGUAUAUUCACCUCUCGCCCUCUAGAUCAUUUCUCUACUCCAUAUUACUACCCAAAAAGUGAUACAUAUUCUGUAUACCCUAUAGAGUACAACACUCAUUUUAGUUUUAACACAUGACUGCCUCUAAUCAUAAGCUUUCUACCAAGCAUUACCGGUCACCAGCAGUUUAUGUCACCUCACGUGAGCAGGUCUCUAAAACUACCUCAAAACACCAUUGUACAGGGCUUCUCGCCCCCAUAGGCAAACCCUAACCAACAUAUCAUGUUACAAACUUACUAAGGCCUGUAAGUCUCCAUUCCCUUGUAGGGGGAACUUGCACCCAUGUACUUUUUGACCAUUACAUUGACUCCCGUCGAGGGGCCUCAAUAAAACUAACCCAGGCCACACCCGUUUUUUCAUCACCAUCACCUUUUCCAUUGUUACCCUUCACUACUACAUUUAGACACCUUCAACUAUGGUUAAUAGGAAGCUUCAUCCCUUACACUAGAAGGCACCAACAGUAUAGAUGAGGCCAACGCCUUGGCAAAGAUGUGUGUCGUCAUGGACGAACUACAAUGUCAUAACCAAACAUUGGAAAAUGACGUCCAUAAUAUCAGAUAAUGCCAAUAAGAUUCCGACCCAGCAGAGGAAAAUAAUUGUUGGACCCCUAACCACUCUUAGACGAAAUAUGGGGGGCGCCAAUCCCAGAGGGUUUCAAACCUCCAUUCUUGGUCAACUUUGAUGGGCGCAACUAUCUCUACGAACAUGUUGCCUCGAUCAAUACAUAAAUGGUCAUCAUAUGAUCGCAAUAAUCCCUACGAGCAUGUUUUAGAAAUCUCAUACCUUUGUAUUACACUUUCAUGUCAAAAAUGAUAAACUAAAAUUCCAAGGCUAACAUAUAGGAUUACAUAUUUUUGCUUGAAAAAAGUUUACAAAUAAUUCUUUAAUAAAAGUUUUAAAUAAAAAUUUGGUUUGAAUAGUUAUUCUUAAAAUGUUAUUUUAGGUAUUUCAUCAUUUAUUAUAAAAAAAUUUUAAUAUCAAAUUUUCAAAAAAUCACUUAAUCUUGAAGCUAUUUCAAAUAGUUUUUCUUAAAAAUCAUUUUUUGAGCUACAUUUUUUUUGAGAAAAUUGCGAUUUGGCUAUAUUUAAAUUUUUAAUAAUGUAUCUUUAUGUUAUAGGAUGUCAAAGUUAAUUAUUCAAUUUAUAAAAAAUGAAUUUAAAAAUAUAAACAUCUCUAUAAAAAUAUUUUUUUAAAUACAAAGAAUUUUUUUUAAUUUUUAAAGCUAAAAAAAACAUACUAUAUUAAACUUGAUGUCAUUGAUUUUUGUCAAUGAGUUCCACAGAAAUGCGAAGGUGCCUAAGGCGGUCCCGACUUCUUUUCUAGAAUUGGUUCCUAAAUUAACAAUCCCCUAUACCUAUUUAAAUAUAGGCAUAUUUGCUUGGUAAGUAGUCUAUAUAGAAUUCUUUCUAAACUAUUGGCUUUAAGACUUAAGAAAGGUAUGGAUAACUUAAUUUCUAAGUGUCAAUCAACCUUCUUAACUCAUAGACAAAUUCAUGGCGGAGUAUUGAUAGUGAAUGAAGUGGCGGACUAUGCAAGAAGAUAUAAAAAUGAGUGUUUGUUAGUGAAAGUGGACUUUCAAAAAGUUCAUGAUUGUGUUCAUUAGGGUUACCUUAGAUAUGUUAUGUAUAUGAUGAGGUUUGGCUCUAAAUGGAUGCUCCAGAUGGAAGCUUUGGUUUUCAAUAGUUCAAUGUCCAUUUUAGUAAAGGCAACCCUACUGAUGAUUUCCAAGUGAGGAGAAGUCUUAGGAAAGGGGAUCCAUUAUCCCAUUUUCUUUUCCUUUUUAGCAGCAGAAGGAUUGACAAGUUUGAUUCAUAAUCUUUCUAGGUUGAAAGAGUUUCAGGGAUUUCAAGUUAAUGAUUGCAGAUGAUACAAUAGUUAUUUGUGAUAGGUCUUAGAGUAACUUGUGAUUCUCAAAGUCAUUUUAAGAGGAUUUGAAUUGACUUCUGAUUUUGGUUUAUGUGUGAAUUUAUCGAAAAGCAAAGUGAUAGGUAUCAAUUUGAAAGAUGAGUUUAUCCUAGCAAUCUCAACCUUUCUUUCUUGUAAAAUUGGUUAUUUACCUUUCGGUUUUCUAGGGGUUAAUGCGGGACCUAACUCUAGAAGAAAAUAGAGAGUUGGAAGGCUAUUAUAAUCAAGUUUCAAAAAAGACUAUCUCCAAGAGGGGUAUAGAUAUGUCUAUGGGAGGAAGAAUGAUGAUGUUAAAUGCGGUUUUGUCCAAUCUUCCUCUAUAUUCUUUUUCUUUUUAUAAAGUUCCGAAGGUGAUAAUAAAAGAAAUGAUUAGAAUGCAAAGAGAUUUUUUGUGGGGAGGUGUAGAAGGAAGGAAGAAAAAUAGUUGGAUUAAUUGGGAUAACAUUUGUAUUUGUAAAUCAAAGAAGGAGGGGUUGGGCGUAAAGCAUUGCGGAGAAUUCAAUUUAGCUUUGCUUAAUAUAUGGUUGUCGGGAGUUCUGUCAGAUGAUAAACCAAUUCGACAAGAUUUUUAUUUUCAGGUAUGGAGAUGUGAGAAGGAAAGUUCUAGACCAAUCUUCUAUCUCCAUUGACAAGAGGGAUUUCAUAUAGUGGCGAGAUUUAUUGUCAAUUAGUAAGAUUUGUCAAAAGGAUUUAUGUUGGUUCUCUGAUGCAAUCAAUUGCAAAGUAGGGAAUGGCCGAAGUAUUGGAUUCUGGAAUUCUAAAUGGCAAGGGACAACUCCUUUAAAAUCUCAAUUUUCUUAUCUGUUUGAUUUUUUUUUGUGCAAUUCUGAAGCUUCAGUAGUCAAUAUGGAGUUAGGGAUGCUCAUAGACGGUUAAUUUAUAUGUUAUAACCGGCUAUUAAAUCCAAAUAUCUGGAUUUUAUUUUUGUAAAAUUGUUAUAAACAAAUUAUUAACGGGUAUAUUCAUAACCAAUUUUAUAAUUAAUUUUGAUUUAAUUUUUUAAAAAACAAUUGCAAGAAUUUUUUAUUUUAAGAAAAAAUAUUUAUUUUUAAGAAAACAAAAUCUUAUUUUUUAUUUUCAGAAAAAAGAACUUUUUUUUCAAUUUUUUUUUGGAAAAAAAACAUUUCUUUUUCAGUUGUUUUUAUUUACUGAAAAUAAAUUAUUUUUUUCAAAAUAAAAAAUUAUUUUCAGAAGGAAAAAAAGUAUAUUUUCAUUUUUUUUUAAAUUGACUAAUUUGGUUUUUAUUUUGAAUAUGAAUGUCCAAAAUAGGUGUAAGCGAAUCAGAAAAAACCAAUUAAAUCGAUAAUCCAAAUCUAAUCGAAAAGAUUGAUUAUUUUUUGUUCGGUUUAAAAGUCAAACUAAACCACUAAAAGCAUAAAUGAUUUGGUUCGAUUCUCAAUUUUAGUUUUUUGGAAUUGUCAACCUAACUCUAGCAGUCUCAAUUUUCUAUCCUUUAUCUCCCUUAGCAAGAGGGAUUACAUAUGAUGGUGAGACUUAUUGUCAAUUAGUAAGAUUGGUCCAAAGAAUUUGUGUUGGUUCUCUAAUGCAGUCAAUUGCAAAGUAGGGAAUUGUCGAAGUAUUGGAUUAUGGAAUUCUAAAUCGUCCUUUUAAAAUCUCAAUUUCUUUAUCUAUUUAAUUUUUUGGGAAAAUUCUGAAGCUUCGGUAGUCAAUAUUGAGUUAGGGAUGCUCAUAGACAUUUAAUUUUCAUAACCAAUACCUCAUCAUAAAUAAUUCAUAUGUUAUAACAAGUUAUUAAAUCAAAAUAUCAUAAUUGGAUUAGAUUGUUAUAAAAUAGUUAUAAACAAAUUAUUAACCGUUAUAUGCAUAACUAAUUUUAUAAUUAAAUUUGAUUUAAUUUUUUAAAAAAAUGCAAGAAUUUUUUUAUUUAAAAAUAAUUUAUUUUUUUAUUUUAAGAAAAAAUAUUUAUUUUCAAAAAUAAAAAAAUCAUAUUUUUUAUUUUAAGAAAAAAAAAUCAUAUAUUUUUAUUUUUGUAAAAAAAAUAUUUUUUUAUUUUUCAGUUGUUUUUAUUUACUGAAAACAAAUUUAAAUUUUUUUUCAUCAUUUUUUUUUCAAAAUAGAAAAAUAAUUAUAAAAAAAUAAUUAUUUUCAUAACGAAAAAAAUAUUUUCAUUUUUUAAAAAUUGAUUAAUUUGGUUUUUAUUUUAAAUAUGAAUGUCCAAAAUAUAACCGAAUCAGAAAAAACCAAUUAAAUUGACGAUCCAAAUCCAACCGAAAAAAUUGAUUGUUUUUUGUUUGGUUUAAAAAUCAAACCAAACCAAUAAAAACCAAAGUGAUUUGGUUCGGUUCUCGAUUUUAGUUUCUUGGAAUUGUCAAACCGAUGAACCGAACCGAUGAUUAUAAAUACCUAGUUAAUCUUUCUCUGAUUGUCCACCACUACUGUCAUUUUUGUAGGUUAUAAUUGUCUUAUUCGUGAUCAAUUUCUCUCCGUUAGUUUUCAACUUCUUCUUUUUUACCUUUUUUUUUUGUUUCUUCUUCUUCAAUGAUUUUCCUUCUAAUUUUGUUACAAAAUAGUUUUGAUAUGUGUUUGAGGCAUGAAACAUAUUAAUUUAUGUGUAUUGAAAUCUUUUGUUAUUAUUGCUGCAUUUUAUUUGUUAAGCUUUCAAAUCUCUUCUCAAUCUUUUCAUGCAAAGUGUCAACUUUUUUAUUCGAUAGUGAACUUAUUUUAUUAUGCAAUAAAAAGCAUGUCAAUGUUUCGUAUGAAUUAAGAACAACUUGUAAGUUCUUUGUAAAGAAGAGCAUGAAAUAUAUUAUAUGAAAUGUAUUAUUUGAAAAAAUAAUAGCAUAAAAUAUACUGAAAAACAUAAUAACAAAAAAUACAAAUGAAUAUAAUAUUUGAAAAAAAAUGUUGUAAACCGAUCAACCAAACCGAAUAAAACUGAUUAGUUUUGUUUGAUUCCAUUUUUAAAAAACACUAAAAGUCAAACUAAACCAAAUCGGUGGAGAUAUCAUUGGUUCAGACAAUUUUUAAUAAAAAAACCGAUCCAAACGGAAUCAAUUAUACCCCUAAUCCAAAAUAUAGAGUCAUAUUAAUAUCAUAUUCAAAAUAUGGAUUUGGUUAAAACCAUAUUAAUAAUUAAUCGAUUUUUUAAUAUUGAUAUAAAUAAUUUAAAUAACUAAUUUUUUUAUAAAAUUGAUUUACAAACAUAAAAAAUAAAAUAAAAAAUAAAUUAUCUCAAAAUUAAUAUAUUAAAAUAUAGUCUUGAAUAAAACAACUCCGCGGAAUUUGAUCCCUUAAUGAAAUGCAACUUUGUUAUUAUUAGUGUUGUAUUUACAAACUUAAUUUCAAAAACUAAAAAUCAAAACGCCUUCAAAUAAGUCAUAAACAUCUGGAAAAACAAAUAUUGAUGUGAAAUGUUGAGUUUUUAUUGAAAUAGAUAGCACUCUAGAUUUUGCACGAGAAAAACGUAAAUUUUUCUUACUCAGCACCUAAUGAUUAUUUAGAUGCUCCGAAUGAUACAUUAUACUCGGCUUCUAUAAGGAAUGAACAAAUUCUGUUAAUUUAAUGGGCAAGAUACAGCUCUCCUACAAAAGUUAUUAUGUUUGUAGAAGUGGAUUUAUGUGAAUUAAAAUGACUAACCAUAUUUAGAUUUAUGUAGACAGGCAUAAAUAUAUAUUUAAAAAUGAAUAAUAUCUUGUCAUGUAGUGUACACAUCAUAACAUACUCUCAAUGUAAUAAUUUUAUUUAGGAUUCUUUUGCUUGCUCAGGAUCUCCACAACACAAAGUAUUUAACAGAGUUUAAAAGAAGUCCAAAAAAAGGACCACAAGAAGCACAUUUGGAGACUUAAAGACCAUUUUGAUUUUGGGGGCAAAAAAAAAUCUAUCUAGAAUUUGAGAGGCUAACAUAAAAGACCACAGACAUAAUUUAGCCUAUUUUUCAGAUAGAGACUUGGUGGUAUAAAUGGUGAACUUGAGUCUCAAAAGAUAUUAUUGCAAUUAAAAUAAAUAAAUAGAGGCUGUUUUUGUAGGAAUUAGUUCCUACUUAUUAUUAUAUGGCAGUAAAACCUUAGCCAUAUGGCCCAUAGGCAAUUUAUUCAAGCCUUGUCUGUAAUCUCGAUAAGCCUUUCAUUUUAAGAAUGCAAUUUACAAGCCAAAGUGCUUGUCUAAAACUUCUUUGGAUGUGCUGCCAAAACCAUUAGCUAUCUUCUUCAUUUCUUCAAAUUUCUUCAGUUCCUGCCUUAGCUCUUCAUUUUUUUUCUCAAUAGUCUGAAGCAAGACACUUGAGCCAGACGUGCUGGAUUGCCCUGCUAAGUCGGACUUGUCAUUGUCGAGUUGCUGAGAAAUAUUUAGUAAAUAUUCCUUAUGUGUAUGAAGGCUUUCCUCUGCCAGCUUAUAUUCAAACUUUUGAGAUUUUUCAAGAUCCUCCAUAGCCUUAUCAAACUCAGCAUCAAGUUUUGAUAACUCUGAUUCAUAACGAAAAGAUUUUGUUCCUUUUUGAACAUUUAAAUGCUUUAAAGAACCUUCGUCGACAUCUGUAGUUUCCAUCGCAGUAUUGCCGUAACCUGUUGGUAAACAAAAUAUUCAUGACUUAAUCAUAUUCUUUUCGGCAUUUUAUAUACACUUACUUCAUUAGCAUACAACCAGUGCAAAAGUAAUAAGUAAUAUUAUCAGAACAUUUACCUGAAGAAUUAGCUGUAAUUUUGGCACCAACGUUCAAAAUAUCUUCAGUAUCAGUCCCAUGUUUGAGCUGAAGUAAAAGACCAAAUUCAUCAUGAUAUUGUCUUUUAUGAUUUAUUAGAGGAAAAACAAGAAAUUAAUUAAACAAUACCUUUGACAUGGCCGAUGUAAUACGGCUCAUAAGCUCCUUUGCAGUGGUUUUCUCUGAACCGCGCAAGAGGCAAAUAGCAAGCUUUAGAAUUUUUUCCUUAAUAUCACCGUCGUCAUCAUCUGUAUCAAUAGCUUCACAUGUCUGUAGAAGCUUAUUAACAUGAGAAAUGAGUUCAGUCCUCCCAUCACAGCGCCAGCAAAAAUACUCAGCAUCCAAUCCAAUGGUUCCUCCAACCGUGCCAGCCGAAUAAGAUCGAAGAGCGCAUUCCAGAUGACAGACAUGGCCGCAAAUGUUAUCGCCUAGUUUUACUUUGCACAUGAUAUAACUAUAGCCGCCAUAAGCCGAAUCAACUGAUUUGUAACAAAGAAUGCAGCAACAUUCGCGGCAAAAUUUAGAUUCAACGCAACAGAUAUCACACGGUGCAACAGGUGAAUUUUCUAUUUGUUCUUCCAAAAUCAAACUGGUGCAGGUCUUAUUUCCAGCUUUGCAUCCACCAAUGUCAGAAUCAGAUUCAGGCUGCUCUUUCAAUUCUAACUGAUGAAGAAGUCCAUCAGCAGCUACAGGAUUCAUAUUGCCUACAAUGCAGAACAACAACGUAUAAUCAUCUAAAGGUGCAGAAAAGCUUUACAAAACAGUGAUUGCGGUGUGAACUGAUCACAAUUUGUUCUUUAUCAUCAAAACGGUGAAUAGUAUCGGAAGAUGAAGAUUCAGAUACUAAUUAUUCACAAUUUGUUGCGGCGGUAUUCACCGCAACAGAGACUGUUUUUCUAAAUAACAGGUUUGAAUACUCAAAAGCCCUUUGGACUUGGAUUUCACAGAAUCACAAAAUGAGAAGAGAGCAAAGAGAAAUACCAGGAAGACCAGAAGGAAUAGUCCAGCUGAAAGAAGCGAAGAAAUCAACAAUGUUAGCGUCAGGGAAGAACUCUUUGACGUGGCGUUCAACGGCAAGCUUGCUUUUAAAUCCACCGCGGUAAGAGGCAGCAAGACGACGAGGAAGAUACAGAUACCGGUCCCUAAAGUUACCGUUAGAUGAAAUUCUCCUGCCAGCUUUCCACCGCCAAAUGUCGCCGGGAUUCGGAAAGUUUUCUGGCGCAAAAGGUAAACCAUCGCCGGAUUGAUCGGGUGCGACCGGUGCAAGAUUUGACAAGUUGACGCGGCGACCAGCAUUAUCAGAGUUUCCUUCAAACUCCAUCUCUGUUAGGGUUUAUAAGAGCAGAGAGAAUUGAUGUGUUAACUUGAGAUUUUUAUUUUUUGAGAAAUGGAAUUGUGAAAAUGAUGACGAUGGAGAGUGGUGAGAAAAAGGGUGAAGUUGAAAAUGAUUGAAAUUAAGAAUGAAGCGCGAAAAGAGUAAUAAGAGUAACAGCUUCAGACAAAGGUCAUAGAGUUGCUCAAACUUCGCUCUUCGUGCUUUUCAACUUCAAACAUGUUUUAAAAUUUAACAUCCAUCUUGAUUUAAGUGUGAUAUUUUCUAAAUUAUAAAAAUCCUUUUUUUUUCUUUCUAAUUAAUAUACUAGAUGAAGCAAAUUGUUCAAAAGACUCAAACAGGUGUCCAACAAUCAUUCACACAUUUCAAAUUUUUUUUGAUAAAUACUUAAAAGAACGAUUUCGUAACAACUUUUAAGAUGACAUUCAUGUAAUCUGUCCAAAAAAAUUCAAAAAAUUAAUAAACGACUUUUAGAUUAAUAAGACUUAAUCUAUAAUGAAUUGGUAUAGCAACUAUAUAAUAUAGUACACUUAUAUUUUAUAAAUGUUGGAUUCUUGGCAAUCACAUGACACACUUACAAUUUUUUAUUUUGAUAUCUUUUUAUACUAUUAGAUCAUGCACGCAUCUCAUAUUCACGAGUGAUUUAAAGAUUUUGUCAAAUUUUCACACAAGGAAUCUAACAUUAUAAAAAUAUUAGUAAUUUUAUCAAAUAUAUAUUAUAUAAGGGAUAUGAAGUUCUUACUCUCUUAAUAAUGCUCAUCUUACACUUACUCAAGUACGCCAUAACAUUGGAUCAUAAAAUAACACAAUGCAUAAAGUUGUCAUAGCAAAGUCUUACCUAGAAAAGAAAUUAAAAACUUCACUAAUAUUAUGUUUUUUAGGAUUUAUGGACAACCACAUUUCACAAAAUUAACAUCAAUUUUAAUUUCGUACACUUUUGAGCUUAAGAGACAUACAUUGAACCACAAUCCUAGGGUAUAAUAAUUUCAAUGAGCAAAAGACAUAAUCAUUUAAAUAAUUUCAAUGCACAUUCUUAAAAGUUCAACCAAGAUUUGUCUUAUUUUGCUCCUUACUUAAUACUAAUAGCGAUGCCAUAAAGGACACAAUAUUUGCAAAAUUUCUUACAAUAAAAAUUGUGUUACUAAGAAGAAUCUAUCUAAAUUUUAUAUUAUUCGUUGUAAAUAUGCUACGAAGCAGUAAUGUAAAUAAUUUCAAUAAAAAAAAGUCAAUUGUGAAUAAAUAGGUAGGAGCGUACCUGAUGAUUUUGGAUCUGGUCUCCACCACAUAUAUCGGGUUUUGUAAAAAUUACUAGAAGAAUUUAAUUGAGGCAUCAGAUCCUUUGUUGUUCUUUCUAUUGCAGUAUUGAUGGUAGCGUGAUGGAUCUGGUCUCCACCACAUAUAUCGGGUUUUGUAAAAAUUACUAGAAGAAUUUAAUUGAGGCAUCAGAUCCUUUGUUGUUCUUUCUAUUGCAGUAUUGAUGGUAGCGUGAGACCCUAAAUCUUAAGAUCAAACUCGUAAUAAUUUCGCAAAAAUAAAUACUUAACACAUAUCUAGUUGUGAGUGCUAACACAAACGACACUACUGCUGAUAAUAUUAUUAAUUAAUAAAAUCAUAAAAAUAAGUGUUGAGAUUGACAUCUAAUGCAAAAACGCUAAAUCGCAAGCACGAGAUGAGCGAAAAUUAAAUUUCUAGAAUCUUCAUAUAGAUAUAUAUCAAAAAAAAAAUCUAAGGAGGAAGCCAAAUCUUGAAAAUAAAUCUUUUCACUAUUUAUCAUUAUGAAUGAAUAUCUAUCAAAUUUUCAUCAAUAUUUCACAUGUAUGUAGAUAUGAAAAAAGUAGGAAUUUCAAACAGAGGCGACCAAGCCUGAAGUUAAGAGAAGAUGGGGAAAUUAUGGAACUGGUUAACAAAACCUAAUCUAAAAGGGUAUCCAUUAUGUUUUGGGCUUAUGUUUUGGUUAACAAAACCUAAUAUAAAAAUGGUAUGAAUUUUUAAAAAUGGAUCCAUUUGGUUACUGGGUCAUUUAAGGAUACAAAAUUUUAUGAAUAAGCCCAAAGUUAAUCUCAGGUAUUGCAACAUCUUAUUGAUCCUAUAUAAAUAAAUAUAAAUUAAUAAAUUAAGUUAGAGUCUACGAAAAAAAAUAUUUUGAUCACCAUCGAUGGAUUUUUUUUUUAAAAUAACCAUUUUUUUCAAAAAAAAAUCGAAAAUAACCGAUAAUUAAAAAAAACAAAAUAAUCAGGUUUAGAAGAGGAUGCGCCAGAGGAAUUGGCGCACCCCUAACUAUUAAGAGGAGGCGUCAAUAGCAUUGGCGCAUGCAUUGGGCUCCUCAUGAGGAGGCGCCAAUGUUAUUCGCGCAUGCAUUGGCCCUCAUGAGGAGGCGUCAAUGCUCCUGGCGCCUAGGUGCAAUUUGCAAUGUGGGCGCCAAUUGCUCUGGCGCCUGCAUGUCCUGCCAUGUGGGCGCCAAUCCCUCUGGCGCAUGCAUGUCAUGUACAUUUAAUAUUCAGUCUCCAUAAAUACCACGCCUUGGAUCCAAUAUUUUUCACUCAAAAUCAUCUCCUAAUACCAUAAUUUCUCUAGUUCAACCACCAUCACCUUCAAGUUUUUCUUUUUUAACAAUGUUUGCAUACAUUUAGAAACGAAAUGCUGAUGUAAUAUUUUCCAUCGUUGCAACUCCGGUACAUAUUCGACUUUGGAACACAGAUACAUUUGAACGUCUUAAUCGGACGUUGUAUAGUUGGUUAGAGGGAGAAAUUGGAGAGGGUGAAAGGAUUAGAAGAAUACAAUGGCUUGUGUCCAUGUUCAAUCAAAACGGAGAAAUGCGCGAAUGAGUGGUGUCGCACCUCAAAAAAUGAGAACACGACUUAGCGAAGCGCAAUCGCACGCUCACAUGAUGGACUAAACAGAGUCGCCACUGAACUUUAUUUAUUCCUAAAAGGAAAGGGGAAAUAUCGAUAAAACCCAAGAAAGAACGACAAUGAUUAUGGUCAUCGCAACCAAAUCAGGGUUCGGGAGUCGAUUACGCAAGGGGAAGGUAUUAGCACCCCUCACGUCCGUUGUACUCAACGGGAACCAUUAGGUUAAUUGUGUGCGUUAUUGUUAGUUUAGAAAUGUUAGGCGUCUCGAGUUAUUAGGUGGGAAAGAAAUAAAGGGUGAGAGGAGAAUAUUUUUGGAUUUUUAACGAAGGACUAAACCUAAGUUUUUUUAUUAGUGGGUCUGACAAGAUUUCGCAAUCCUGCUCCUACGUAUCUCAAUAGAGAACUUAAGGCUUACGUAGUUCUGGGUAGAAAAUGUUUGUUUGUUGGUCAAUUUUAGCGAAAGCUAUAUUGUAUUAAUCGACGAAAACAUUGUUUUACCCAAAACAGAUGAGGAGCGGACAUAUACCACACAUCGAAUGGAUUUACAAAUCAACAUUCGGAAAAACGUCACUUAUCUCAACUCAACAAUUGUAGCCGAGGCAUUGCUUUACAUCACCUUAAAACACGAUGUCUUUCGUUUUGAAAAGGUUUUUCUGAUCAAUCGCACGGCGGCAAAAAAUAGUUUGAUUGGUUGGAUGCAUUUUUGGGUUUGAAAGACGAAUAUUUAUUACUUGCAAGCUCUUAUAACUUGGGUCUAAUACUCGGGACUACGUCUGGACCUUUCACGCAGGCAAUCUUUUUCUUUCAAUUUUAUUGAGAAAAGACGUUUGAAUAUUUACAAAUAUUUUAAAGAGAAGACGAAUACAUAGGACUUACAAGCUCUUACAACUUGGGCCUAAUAUUCGGGAUUACGACUGGAUAUUCCAUCCAGGGUAAUCUUUUUCUUCAGAUUUUAUUGAGAAAAAUACGUUUGAAUAUUUAAAAAUAUUUUGAAGAGAAGACGAAUACAUAUGGCCUCUAAGCUCUUACAACUUCGGCCUAAUAUUCGGGAUUACGACUGGAUAUUCCAUCCAGGGUAAUCUUUUUCUUCAGAUUCACUUAUGAAAAUAAUUUGAAUAUUGGAGCGUUUUGAAGAGAAGACGAAUACAUAGGGCUUACAAGCUCUUACAACUUGGGCCUAAUAUUCGGGAUUACGAUUGGAUAUUUCAUCCAGGUAAUCUUUUUCUUCCAACUUAUUUAUGAAAAUGAUUUGAAAUUAAAUUAAAAAUGAUUAAUGUACAAAGGUUUGAAAUUAUUGAAAAUUAAGUUGGUAUUGUUUAAAAGUUCAUUGUAAAAAGACCCCAAAAAUAAGUCAAGUGUAAAUAAACAAAUAAGUACAAAGGUUUGAAAUUAUUGAAAAUUAAGUUGGUAUUGUUUAAAAGUUCAUUGUAAAAAGACCCCAAAAAUAAGUCAAGUGUAAAUAAACAAAUAAGUAAAAAGGUAUUUACAACACACUUAAAAAUUUAAAAUGGAAAAAAUAAAAUCUACAAAUAUUUUUUUCAAAAAAUGGAUUAAAUAAAAGGGUAUAAAAAUAAAUAAUAAAAUCAGAAGAAGUUAUAAAAAGAGAAUCAAUAGAAUGAAAAUUAUAAAAAAAAUAAAAACAAGUAAACUUAAAAUUUGCUAACAUCAAGGAUUGAACCCAUGACAUAGUAGAAAGUAGAGAGUGCAUCAACCACCCAGCCAUGAAUGACUAGCUAGAAGGUAGAUGUACUAAUUAAUAUAAGUAACAAAAUUCACUGAAAGUUUAAAAUAAAGGAAAAAAAUAGUUGGACUGGGCCUAGAGCGGGUCGGGUUCAACCCAGCUCAACCUAACUAAAACCAAUAGCAAGCCAACAACCCUAGAAUUCCAAACCUCCGCUCACACUUUGUCUCUUCCAAACAACAUUUCGACGUUCUAAAAGAAAGAAAUAAACGACCGUCCACUCUCUAUCUCUUCCUCACGAUCUGUUUCAAUGAAUCCAACCACAAUCCUUCCUCUCAAUCGAUUUUGGCCCUCAUACAAACUCAAUCGUCCGCUCACACGCUCAUGCUUCCGGCCACUUCAACAGACACACAACGAUAUGGCCUUACCCAACCGUGAUUCUGGCCGUCUUACCCACCGUGAUAAUGGCCAUCUCACCCACCGUGAUAAUGACGGCCAACACUCAACCGCGUUCGGAUGGCCAACACUCAACCACAACAUUUACAUCGAUUGCAAUUUUUUUAUUAAAAUGCAAAACAGAAAGGAAUAGGUACAAAGUGGUUUUAAGGGCACAAGAGGACUACCUGCUAUCGGAAAGGAGGAAAGGAAGCGACUUUGUCUUGCUUUCAGGUAAUUAUGCAGUAGUGUCUUAGUUUUUUUUGUUUUUUCUCUCUGUUUUGUUGGAUUAUAAUGAAUGGAUGAUUUCAAAUUCUGUUGUUUAUGUGUGUGAACUGAAUGGAUUGUUGAGAAUAAAUUUUUUCCAGCCCCCUCAUUUCAAAAAAAAAGAUCCUUUUUAUACUGUGAUUUUAUAGGGUUUGCACAGAGGUAAGGAUUGGUCCUUGCUGUCAAAUUUAUGCCAUUGGUAGUGGGUUCCAAAAUUCUUUCUAAGAGGACAAGCGUUGCCUUAACAUUUUAGUGAAAAUUCAUGUUUUGUCUUAAAAAGUAAUGUACUGCCAUUUGCUUUUCUGCUUGGUUUCUGUUUGCCUUUGUAUUCUUUCCCAAUUGAUGCUAACUUGAUAUUAUUUUUCUGCUCCAAGUCACUUGUCCAAGUUGAUACUAAGGUUGAUGAGCAGAAAAAUGGUCUCACAGAUAACACAAUAGUUUGAAGGGGUUCCAUGCUUUUCUUUUUUUAAAUGUAAUUUGUUAUUGUACAAAAAAUUGUACCUUAUUAUAAUGUAAAAACUUAUUUUUAUAUUUUCUGAAUUUUUUCUAUAUUUGUGAUGUAGAAGAUAAAUAAAAUUAAAUGUAACUAUUUUUUAUUUAUUUUAAGAUAGAGCAAUGACAUUUAUUUACAAAAUGUGACCAAAUAUUUUACUUAAAUCCAAUUAAGAGAAUCAAAAUAAUUUUUUUUAACAAACUUUAAUUAUUAUUAUUACUACUACUCAACAUAAUUUUACUUAAAUCCAAUUAAGAGAAUCAAAAUAAUUUUUUUUAACAAACUUUAAUUAUUAUUAUUACUACUACUCAACAUAAAAAAUCUCUUGCUAUAACCUGAGAACAAUACCAUGACAAGACCAAACAAAUGUAUGAAAACAAUUAAGAGAAUCAAAAUAAAUUAUUUUUUUAACAAAUUUUAAUUAUUAUUAUUAGUACUACUCAACAUAAAAAAUCCCUUGCUAUAACCUGAGAACAAUACCAUGACAAGACCAAACAAAUGUAUGAAAACAAUUAAGAGAAUCAAAAUAAUUUUUUUUUAACAAACUUUAAUUAUUAUUAUUACUACUACUCAACAUAAAAUAGAACCUAAGUAAUAAUUAUGGGCAUGUAGUGUAUGAUAGAAAACUUAUGAAAAACAAAUGUAUGAAUGACAUGGUAAAUGAAAAUCUUAUUAUAAAUAUGAAUGCUUAUGAAUGAAAAUCCUAUUUUUUUUUUAUGUGAAUUGGUAAAUAAAAAAAAAUCUAAAGAAAAUUAAAUAAAUGUCAUUGAAAUGAAAUUAAAAAAAAAGGAAUAAUUUAUGAAUAUGAAUGAUUAAGAAUGAAGGUCAUAUUGAAAUAAAUAAAAAAAUUCUAAGGAAAAUUAUGCAAAUACAUGCCAUUAAAAAAAAGAUUGAAUGAUUUAUGAAUAUGAAUGAAUGUCUUUUUUUUUAUGUGAAUUGGUAAAUUGAAAUAGAAAAAAUUCUAAUGAAAAUUAUGCAAAUAAAUGUAUUAAAAUGAAAUUAAAAAUUUUAAAAAUGGAAUAAUUUAUGUCAAUGAAUGGAUGCGAAUUGAUAAAUACAUAUGCUUGAAAUGUAAAUGAAUGCCUUUAGGCGGGGUAAAAUUUAGGGUAUGACAAGUGGAUAUUAAGAUCGACCAAGAUGCUUGUAGGAUGAUGCAUUAUAUGUUCAAAAUUAUUUUGAUAGUUGGAAUCACAUAGUUCUUGUAUUCUAGUUAUUAUAAUUAUUUGUGUUAGUGUUUAUGUAAUGGUACUUUCGUCACAAACGUCUAAUAUGAAAUAAAUUUAGUUUUUCAUAUAUUGCAAUAGAGGUACAUGUGAAUUUAUCUGGUUGUGCUCGUUCCAACACUAUGGCAGUUAUUACGAUUGUGACCUGGCUGACGGCAUGAACUACAUAGUCUAACCAUUUUGUUCACCGUAUCCAUUUCGGUUCAAAUCCGGGUGCUGUUUGGGCGACUCUUUUUUUUCCUUCACAUAACUUCGUUGUGCCAGACGAUGUCCCCUUGAUAUUCUGGCCAAUAAUCCUCUUUUGCCACUACGGAAAAACUAAUUUAUAAACAUUUGAAAGGCUGACGACUUUGUAAACUUCAGAUAGUAAGUAUGAUAGAUCUCUUCGAACCUUUGAGCAUGCCGCAAUUACAUGGGAGCAGGGGGUACGAAAGGCUUGGAACUUUCCGUAGUCGCACCAACCUCUAUCUAGUUCGACUCUAUACUAUCCCAUCGGUAUGCCCUCAUUGUGACUCAUGGACUCGACAACAUUAUACCAACCUUUAGUACGGUCAAAGACCGUAACCACGUGUGUGUUUACUUUGAUAGCUUCAUAUCUGAUGAAUUUCAUUGAAGCAUCACUGAACAACUGUCCAGAUUGCAACACUGAACUACAUUUUGAGCGUCUGGUUUCAAACAACGCCCCUAGCCUGAAAUAUGUUGCCAACACCAAAGCGGUCAUAGGUAGGUUACGGAUGCCUUUGAAGACAGAGUUCAUAGAUUCCACAAGAUUUGUUGUCAUGUGGCUCCAACGCUGACCGUUAUCGCAAUCCAUUCAUACCAUAUACUCAAACACAAUACCAAGAAUCAAACCCCAUAGCCACAAUCGUCUAAAGCCCAUAUGAUUCAUAUGGGUCACUUCAUCGUAGCCCCCCACCAAUGACCACCCAAACAUCUCAUCAACAUAACACCCAACCAUUGUUUAACUAUAGUACGCCCCACGAACCAUUGCUUCGUUUCUAAAACGACUCAAUGACCCAAUUUGGGCAACUAUAUCGUCCCCAGUCCACCCAACCCCAACAGCCUAACUACGAUGUCAUGGGCACCGAACUCCAUUACGGAAGUGUCGCUGGCCAGAUCCCCUCCAGAUAUUGGGAACAAAUGAUGACACAUCUGUUAAAUACCGCUGGAAUUUCCGCUGGACCAUCCCACCAGCCAUCGCUCGAUCAGGUCAGCACACAAAAAUCUCAAACACCUCAAGAAAAUCGUGGGAGAUCUCGGAGACAAACUAACGCACCUGGAUGUAGAACAGGGGGACGUUAUAAUCGGGUCGGUCAUUGAUUUAUUGUCAGUCCAAUGUAACCAAUUAUUACAUCAUCAAUAAAUUUAUUUAUUUUCUAUUACUAUUUUUUAUUUAUUAAAUAAACAAAAUUAAAAUUUUAAAAAAUACAAGGGGUGUAUGCGCCAGAUGAAUUGGCGCAUACACCAUCCAUUGCACAAAGGAGCCAGGAGCAUUGGCGCCUCCUCAUGAGGGCCAAUGCAUGCGCCAAUAGCAUUGACGCCUCCUCAUGAGGAGUCCAAUGCAUGCGUCAAUGCUAUUGGCGGCUCCUCUUAAUGGUUAGGGGAUGCCCCAAUUCAUCUGGCGCAUCCUCUUCUAAACCUAAUUAUUUUGAUAUUUUUUUUGAAUUAUUGGUUAUUUUCGAUUUUUUUUAAAAAAAUGGUUAUUUUAAAAAAAAAUCCAUCGAUGUCUCUUUAAAUAUUACAAACAAAGCAAAAUAUUAUGAAAAAAAACAGGGUUCAAUAAUUCAAGUUCGGUAAUACAAAUGUUUUCAAUGGAAAACUUAAUUUCUAGUGAGCAAAUGGCAAACUAUGUACGUCAUGCUUGAUGAAAAAGACUUUUGUAAUGUAGUCUUAUCAAAUUUCUAGUUUAGUAGAGUCAAGUCUUCACGUAGACUAGACCAUGUUGGGGUAAAUUAUAAGGAUGACAUUCAUGUAAUUUGUCAAAAAAAAAAAUUCAAAAAACUAAUAAACGAAUUCUAGAUUAAUAAGACUUAACCUAUAAUGAAUUGGUAUAGCAAGUAUAUAAUAUAGUACACUUAUAUUUUAUAAAUGUUGGAUUCUUACAAUCACACGACACACCUACAAUUUUUUAUUUUCACAUCUUUUAUGCUAUUAGAUCAUGCACGCAUCUCAUAAUCAGAAUUGAUUUAGAGAUUUCGUCAAAUUUUCACACAAAAAAUCUAACUUUAUAAAAAUAACAGUAAUUUUAUCAAAUAUAUAUUAUAUAAGGGAUAUGAAGUUCUUACUCUCUUAAUAAUGCUCAUCUUACACUUACUCAAGUACGUCAUAGCAUUGGAUCAUAAAAUAACACAAUGCAUAAAGUUGUCAUUGCAAAGUCUUACUUAGAAAAGAAAUUAAAAUUUUUACUAAUUUUAUAUUUUUUUAGGAUUUAUGGACAACCACAUUUCACAAAAUUAACACCAUUUUUAAUUUCCUGCACUUUUGAGUUUAAGAGACAUACAUUGAACCACAAUCCAACAUAAUUAUGGCACAAUAAUUUCAAUGAACAAUGGUAAAAUACAUAAAAGAUAUAAUCAUUUAAAUAAUUUCAAUGCACAUUUUUAAAAGUUCAACCAAGAUUUGUCUUAUUUUGUUCCUUACUUAAUAGUAAUAGUUAUGCCACAUAUGACACAAUGGUUGCAAAAUUUCUUACAAUAAAAAUUGUGUUACUAAGAAGAAUCUAUCUAAAUUUUACAUUAUUCGUCGUAAAUAUGCUACGAAGAAGUAAUGUACAUAAUUUCAAUAAAAAAUGUCAAUUGUGAAGAAAUAGGCAGGUGUGUACCUCAUGAUUUUGGAUCUGGUCUCCACCACAUAUAUCAAGUUUUAUAAAAAUUACUAGAAUGAUUUAAUUGAGGCAUCAGAUCCCUUGUUGUUCUUUCUAUUGCACUAUUGGUGGUAGCGUGAGACCUUAAAUCUUAAGACCGGACUCGUAAUAAUUCGCAAAAGUAAAUACUGAACACAUAUCUAGUUGUGAGUGCUAACACAAGUGACACUACUGCCGAUAAUAUUAUUAAUUAAUAAAAUCAUAAAAAUAAGUAUUGAGAUUGUCAUCUAAUGCAACAACACUAAAUCGUAAACACGAGAUGAGCGAAAAUCAAAUUUCUAGAAUCUUCAUAUAGUUAUAUAUGACUAAAAAAAUUCUAAGGAGGAAGCCAGAUCUUGAAAAUAAAUCUUUUCAAUAUUUGUCAUUAUCUACAAAAUUUUCAUCAAUAUUUCACAUGAACGUAGAUAUGAAAAAAGUAGGAAUUUCAAACAGAGGCGACUGAGCUUGAAGGUAAGAGAAGAUGGGGAAAAUAUGGAACCGGUUAACAAAACCUAAUAUAAAAGGGUAUCCAUUCUAACUAGAACAUUUCCUAAUGCUAAGAUGCACAUUAAGACUCGGAGGAUACCAUCCAAUAUACAAAAACGUUGAAGUAUCCUAGUUUUGACAUCAUACAAAAUACAUAUAACUGGAAGUUGCACUCACAUACUCUCCCUUUUUAAUGAUGAAAAAACUUGAGACGGUGUGUUUUGUGUCUUCAUGAAGGGCCCCCCUGAAUGUAUGCAUCCCAACUUCAUCUUCUUGAUGCUUGUCCCCAUUUGACAACAUCAAAAAGAGACAAAGUAAUCCAUAAAAAGUAUCUUAUAUCACACAUAUACUGAUAGAACAUACAUAGGCGUUUGCAAAAAUAAGAUCAUCAAUAACACAUCACUCAUGUAGAAUGAUGUAAAUAUUGAAAAUGCCUAAACAUAAAUAAAAGCAAUUUAAGCAAUAAUAUAACAUAGUUACCGAAAAUCAUGCCAAAUAACACAUACAAUAAACAUAAAAGAUGAAUGAUACAAUGAAAUAAAAAAACUCUUAAAUUGUUUCAAAAGUGACACAUUUACAAAAGUGACACAUUUACGUGACAUAUACCUUUGGUGUUCCCGAAUGCUACACAUAUAUGCUCCAUGAUAAUGAUUUAAGUGUGAUAUUUUUUAAAUUAUAAAAAUCCAUUUUUUCUAAUUAAUAUACUAGAUGAAGCAAAUGGUUCAAAAGACCGAAACAUGUGUCCAACAAUCUUUCACACAUUUCAAAAUUAAGUCUUAACACAUAAUGAAUUGGUAUAGAAACUAUAUAAUAUAUUACACUUUAUAUUUUUUAUACAUUGGAUGCUUAGUAAUCCCACCACACACCUAUCGUUUUUUAUUUUGACGUCUUAUGCUAUUAGAUAAUGCACGUAUCUACGUAUCUGAUACUCACGAGUACAAGAAAUCUAACAUUAUAAAAAUAUAAGUAAUUUUAUCAAAUAUUUAUUACAUAAGGGAUAUAAAAUUCAUUUAAAUAUUUAUACCUUACUCUGUCAAUAAUACUCAUCUUACACUUAUUCAAUUACAUCAUAGCAUUGAAUCAUAAAAUAACACAAUGUAUAAAAUUGUCAUAGCAAAGUCUUCCCUAGAAAAGAAAUUAAAAACUUCACUAAUUUUAUGUUUUUUUAGGAUUGGUAGACAACCACAUUUCACAAAAUUAGCACCAAAUUUUAUUUCCUACACUUUUGAGUUUGAGAGACAUACAUCGGACCAGAAUCCAACAUAAUCAGGGUAAAAUAAUUUCAAUGAGUAGCGGUAAAAUACAUAAAGGAUUUAAAUAAUUCCAAUGCUAAUUCAUAAAAAUUCAACCAAAAUUUGUCUUAUUUUGUCCCUUACAUAAUAGUAAUAACUAUGCCACAAAUGUCACCAUGUUUGCAAAAGUUUUUACAAUAAAAAUUAUGUCAGUAAGAAGAAUCUAUUUAAAAUUUACAUCAUUCUCUAAUUUUUGUAAAUAUGCUAUGAAGUAGUAAUGUACAUAAUUUCAAUAAACAAAAAAGAGUCAGUGUUGGAGAUAUAGGUCGGUGCGUACCUGGUGAUCUUAGAUUUGGUCUCCACCACAUAUAUCAGGGUUUAUAAAAAUUGCUAGAAGGAUUUGAUCGAGGCAUCAGAUCCUUUGUUGUUCUUUCUAUUGCAGUUUUGGUGAUAGUGUGAGAGCCUAAAUCUUAAGACUAGACUUGUAAUAAUUUCGCAAGCGACACUAUUGCUGAUAAUACUUAACACAUAUCUAGUUGCGAGUGCUAACACAAGCACAUUAUUGCUGAUAAUAUUAUUAACUAAUAAAAUCAUAAAAAUAAGUGUUGAGAACGAUAUAUAAUGCAAUAAUGCUAAAUCGUAAGUAUGAGAUGAACGAAAAUCAAAUUUCUAGAAUCUUCAUACAAAUAUAUAUCAAAAAAAUUCAUCUAAGGAGGAAGUCAGAUCUUGAAAAUAAAUCUUUUCAAUAUUUGUCAUUAUGAAUGAAUGUUUACAAAAUUUUCAUCAAUAUUUCACAUGAACGUAGAUAUGAAGAAAGUAGGAAUUUCAACCGAGGGGGCUGGGUUUGAAGGUAAGAGAAGAUGAGAAAAAUAUGGAACUGGUUAACAAAACCUAAUCUAAAAUGGUAUCCAUUAUGUUUUGGGCUUAGAUGCGUCGGGUUCGAUUUUUUCAUAAAAAUGGUAUGAAUUUUUUAAAAUGGAUCAAUUUGAUUACUGAGUCAUUUAAGGAUACACAAUUUUAUAAAAAAAUCCAAAGUCAAUUUCGGGAAUUGCAACAUCUUAUUGAUCUUAUAUAAAUAAAUAUGAAUUAAUAAAUUAAGUUAGAGUCUAUGAAAAAAAGAAAAAUUAUUUUGAUCUCCAUCAAUGUCUCUUUAAAUAUUACAAACAAAGCAUAAUAUUGUGGGAAAGAAACAAGGUGCAAUGAUUCAAAUUCGUUAAUACAAAUGUAUUCAAUGGAAAAUUUAAUUUCUAGUAAGUAAAUAGCAAACUAUGUAUGUCAUGCUUGAUGAAAAAGACUUUUGUAAUGUAGUCUUAUCAAGCUUCUAAUUUAGUAGAAGUUUAAUAGAGUAAGUCUUCAAGGGACCUGACCAAUAUUGGACUAAAUUAUACUGAAAUAUGAGAUUUAUAAAUUUACUAGAUAAUUUUUUUUUCCAAAAGGUUAAUAGUUUUUAGCACAAAAUAUAUCUGAAAAACUUUCGAUAGAAAAUAUUGGAGUUUUACGUUUUCCUUAGUUUUUUAAGAAAGCUUGCUCAAUUGAUUUUCCGUUGAUUUCGUUGAUCUCUUGUCUCAAAAGUUUUCUAUCUUUUGUAGUGAUGUUAAUAACCUACAAAUAUGUUGCCUAUUACUUUGAAUUAUAAUCCAAUUACCUGUGAACUUUAAGUGUAUACAAGACCUUAUUAUUUAAAUGUUUUUAUUUCAAUGUUAUAAAUUUUAGGAGUUUUAAAAUAAAUUUAUGUUGAUUAAUGGUUAUUGGGAGGCAGGUUAUAGAUUUGGUAAAAACACUGACAAUAUGUUGCACAAUGCGGCAACACCACCAGAACAUCAAUAUUCAGGUAGACAAUGCAAUAAGUGUGAGCCCACCUAAAAAAACUUAUCCAUUAAAUCUUAGAGGAUACCUCACCAUCCUACUAAAUUUAUAUACAUAGGGUGGUUCCUCCGAUUUAGUUUCUAUUAGCCCACUAUAGUCCAAGACAACAUUGAGUAUGUUAAGAAGUAUGACAAGUGUAAAAUAAUAUGAAGUAUGGUCAAGUUGUUUUUGGUACAUAAGAGGCACAUGUGAAAGAUGAUGUUCUAACAUGUGUGCUGCAAACAUCUGAUCUCUGACAACAAACAUAUUUUAUUGCAGUUUUGAUUCAGAUUUAUAUAAUCCAAGAUUCACUUUUUAAAGAAACUUUGCAGUUCAUGAAGAGAGUUAAUUUGGAUGUUCUGGUGUAACAUAUGAAACACAAUGUUCUAGCAUGUGCGUAGUGCAACAUUUGGUCUUUGUUAGCCGGUCAUGAUGGAUUUUGUUAGGAGAGAAAUUUCUGAUUGAUUUCAAUCAGAUUUGUUGAUGUAUUUUAGCAGUGUAUUUAUGUGGAUUUGUUUGUUAAAGAUUGGCAAAGAUCAAAUCAAUUUAAAUGGAGAUUUAAAUUUGAUAACAAAUCAUAUAUUUUGAGAUUUUUGUGGAAAACAAAAAUCAACAAAAUCUUCUAUAUUCUGGACGAAAUCAAAUCAAAUUCCCAUUGGAAAAAUACCAGAAGAAACAUUGUAAUUUAAGGAUACUCAAGCCUCAAGUUUGAGGUGUUCACAUUUUGAAGACUCUUUGUGUUAGGGUUUCUAUUUUUGAGUCUUUGUUUGAAUUAUUGUUGUGCACCACUCUAGUGCUUGAAUUCACAUUUUAAGGCAUAUAGUUUGGUUUAUUUGUUGAGUUGUAAAACUCUCUUCUGAGAUACUAAUUCUAUAAGAUUGAGAACAAAGUAUUUGUGUUUUGUGUACACCAUAUUAUUGAUUCAGUAAUUUGACAUAGUUGUUGGUUUGUCUUAGUUGAGUUGUAAAUUCAACAUUCAAUAUCGUUAUUAUUGAAGAUGAUCACUUAGGAUUAGUGAUUGAGAUAAAGUGAGAGUUUAUCAUAUUUAGGAGAGUCCUAAAUAGAAAGUCACUAGGAUUAGGAAGAGACUUUGAAGAUCAUGGGGUUGGUUUUCUUAUAAGACUAAUUGUACUAAUUCAAACUAGUGAAUUUUCUUUCUUGGGAGAUUUCCCCCCAAACGUAGAUGGGGUUUCACCAAAUUGGGUUAACAAUUUCUUGUGUUCUUUAUUUCUUUAAUUGUUAUUUACUAUCUAUCUUGCAAAUUGUUUUUUUAUAUACAAUGUCCCAAACAUCGUGUCUGAUAUCUGUCCCCAGAAUAUAUCAUCUGUCAUAAAUCAAUCGUACAUCUUGUCUCACGCAUUUGGUCUAAAAUUCGUCCUUACUUGAAUAAAAUUUUAAAAUAGUUUAAUGUAUAUGUGAUGCAAAAUAAUUAACAAACAAAUUUAUAAAAUGAUCUAACAACAAAACAAACUAAAUAAAACAUUCAAAUAUGGUAGUGUUUUCUAAACACACUCGUUUCACAUGUGUGAAUUAAAAUUGAAGAGUUCCAAAAGCUAGAGAUUUCAAGAGGCCCGACCGGAAACACAUCAUUUUUAAAUAAGCUUGUAAGUUUAUUAAAGAAAAAUAAGUCAUACAAAAAUAUCAAUCAUGACCAUUACAAAGAGAAUGUAAAAAGGAUAAAACUUAUCCAAAAAGAAUUUUUACGUCAAAGAUAGACUUAAGAGAGUCAUCUUAAAUUUCCACACUCGGAUUCUAAAAGUGAUUUGUCUUGACUAUUGAUUCAAAUCCUUCUUAAUACUUAAUGAAUUCAUAAAUAUUAGACCAUUGAUCAUGAAUUUAUUCUCCUCGUCAUGUUUAUUGGUGUAACGAUAAAUUUUUUGAAUUAAGUUAUUGAUUAACUUAACUCGCAAAGCAAGAGUCACCACCACGCUUUUAUUGUUUCCAUAGGAAACGAGAAAAAAUAAGAAAAAAAUUCAAAGAAGUUUUAAAAUAAAACUAAUAAAAAAGAGAACAAGGGUUCGGGAGUUAGUUAUGCAAAGGGAAGGUAUUAAUACCCUAAAUAUUCGUGGUACUCCAUGAGAAUCUCUUUGAAAAUAUAUACAUUUUGGUUUGAAAUAGGUGUUGUUUAUUAAAAGAUUGGAGAGAUGGGAAAAGAAGCAUAUUUUUUCUUAUUUUUCAUGUUGUGUUUGCCAAGACUUUUGAAGUUUCAUGCCUACAUACCAACAAAGUGUAAUGGAAGAUCAAAACCUCGUAGUUCGUGGUAAGAAUAAAAAAAGGAGUUUGUUUUGAUUCAUUUUUAUGGAAAAGACAUUUUGUCAUUUUAAGGAGAAUACUCAACUAGUCACCCACAAGAUAAGAACUUUGCAUCAUCAAGAGAAGGACUCCAACUUGGAUAAGGAUCAACAAGUAUGCCACUAGCUCCCACAGAUGGAAAAGAAUUAUCGUCAAUACUAUGGAGAUGGGAGAAUUAUAACUCAACUAUGGAAAUGACUCAUGUUUAAUGCCUUGAGAAAAGUUUUAAAAGGAAAAGUGCAUAAGGGCACAAAAUGGUUUGAAUGAGUUAUACAUUAUUUAGUCUUUUGAAAUUGAUCUAAAUAUGCUUAAUAUGAAUUAGCAUUUAUUAAGAAAAAGGUUUUGAAAAUCACUUGACAAAAGUCAAGGUUUAUUGAGAAAGUGGUUCAAGUUAAAAAAGCUAGAAGGUUUUAAAAGAGAGGGAAGAUUUUGAAAAUUUAAGAAAGGGAGAAGAAGAAGAAGAAGAGAUUAUCCUAAAACAUAAAGUAAAAGCUAAGGAGGAAAGAUCUAACCAAGAGAUAACAUGUUUUAUGACGUAAGUCAAGCAAGAAUUACCUCCUUUGGAUUAAGCCUCACACAAGCUCAGAUAAGCAAAUGAUAAUCCACGUAUCAGAUGAACCCAAAGUAACCAAGCCAAGUCUUCACAGAGAAGUCCAAAGUCAUAGGUAUCAGAUAAAUUCCAAUGUCUCAAAAGUCACAGGUCCCAAACCAAGGGUUAAGAUCCUAAUUCUAAGUUCAUAACUCCACAAUGAUGCCAAUGAUAGUAACCACAAGUCCAUGAGUUAGGAGAAACAAGAUUCUUUUUAGGUUUUUUCCCUUAUUAGUGUAUUCUUUACAAUAAUAUAAAAGAAAGGUCCAAAUGGACAAAGAACAAAAUGACAUAAUCACAAACAAUAUGAUAUGAAAUGGUAAACAUAAAGUAUAAAGUAAAUGAUAUAAAAAAUAAAUGCAUAAAGUAAAUGACAUUAAAAUAGAAGUUAAUACAAGUCAGGAGUCAGUAAGGGAUGUUAGUAAAGGUGAAAAGAUGUUUUUGGUCAUUUUUUGGAGAACACUCAACUAUCCACUCACAAACAUGAAAAUAUGAACCUAUACAUCAUUUGUAAGAAGGACUCCAACUUGGAUAAAAUCAACAAGUAUGUCACUACCUCUCACAAAUGGAAAAGUAGCAAUAUUUUCACAUAAUACCAUGGGGAAUAAGAGACUUACAAUCUCACUUAUAAAAAUGUCAUUGCCUUUGGGACAAAUUUAACGUUAUGUUAAGCAAUCGUAAUUGGACUUAUGUAGAAGUCACAACUAUAUGAGGUCGGUCAAUAAUAAUGUUUGUAUUAAUACAUGCUAGAGAAAUGAUAUGUAAAUUAUUCUCCUAAAGCCAUGCCACAAAAAAACAAAAGAAAUGGGAUGAUCAAGCACAAAGGCUAGGAUGAUGGUCCAUUACUUCAAUCCGCACUUCAUGACACUUAGGACAAACUUAUGCAUCAAUCUAAAGUACCUUAAAUGAUUCAUAACCACUUAGAAGGUAGAUUUGAAAUUAUCAAAGUUCAUCAAAUACCAAUGCAUACAUCAUGAACAAGAUGGACACAAGUCAUCCAAUUGAUCAAAGGGAAAAGAAGAAGAUGAAGAAGAAGGAAUCAAGAGAAGUCACACCCAAAUUGGAUCAAAAUUUUGAUCAAGUCAUCAUCAAAAUCAAUCAUCCAUUUUGAUGGAUUAUGGUUUUCACCCCAUCAACACCUAAGAUCCAUUGAGUUUGAUGAGACUUGAAUUCCAAACCUUCAUGAUCCAAGGCCAACAAAAGUUCACAAGGUCACAUAAAUAUAAAAUGUAAUUAAAUGAAAUAAAAAUGCAUCAAAAGUAUUUUUAAAUGAUUUUUAAAAUAGAAAUAAAAUGGAAAAUCCAUAAAGUCCUUCAAAACACCAAAUAAAUGGGCAAUGAAAUUAUGGAAGGUUGAAAAUAAAAUAAGAAAUAUUUAAUAAAAAAAACAUAAAAUUAGUGAACCGGGUCCCAACAUCUGAACCUCGAGCCCUAACAUCUGAGCUUCAAGCCCUAACUUAUGAGCUUGGGACAAGUCAUUAGUCUCAACUUCUAAAUAACAAACAUGCCUCUUUCACAAUAAUGAUAACAUAUAAGGUAUGACAUACAAUAAUUCAACAACACCGUAAUUACAUCCCAACAUCUGACCGUAAACAAUCAUGCAUUUCACCGCAUCAACAACGCAUCUUAACAAUUAUCACCAAUCAUUUACAACAAUUCACAUAAUUAUAAUUUUAUUUCACAUCAUAUAUUCACACAUAGUCAUAAACAAUAUAAAAUAUUAACCUAUUAUCACAAUACCAGUCACCAACAGAGUAAUUCAUAUUAUUACUUAUGUCAGACCACCAACAGGGUAAGACAUCAACUAUUCAAGGCAACUUUAGCCUUAUCAAAAUAACUUUAAAGAGUCAUAUUACUCAAAUCCCAAUUCAACUCAAUAAUAUUAUUAUCAAUUACUCAACAACUCAAUAUUCACUCUUUUGCCUUAACAACCUUAAAUAAGUAAAAAUAUUACUUAAAGUAACUUUAUAAUGUCAACAGUGGUCCAAACUCAACUCAAGUGUAUCAUAUAUUCUAAUCUCAAAUCUAAACAACUUAAAAGAAACUCUGACAAUUCUAUAAAAUCUCUAACCAAAACAAACUAGGACUCUUAAACUUAUCAAAAAGGUAACGAAAGGCCUUCACACUCAAAAUUGCUCAAAACUCUGGAUUUACCUUACAAUUGUCUCACUUCAAAAUAACACCAAAUAUUAUAGACUUAUGAUAAAUUAUGAAACUCUCCAGUCUAAAAUAUAUUUAAACCCUCUUUUCAAAGUAUUUAACCACAUCUUAAAAGGAUUUACGAAAGUUCAGUUGUUUUCGUUUCAUUUCAGUCCUAUCACAAUAAUUCUUACAUAAACUCUAAAAUAGAAUGUCUGAUUUCAAAAUAGAACGAAAAAUUAUAUACUUAUUAUAAAAUUACGAAACUCUUCAAUUUGAAAGAUCAUCAAAUUCUAUUUCUAACACAACUUACGACACCCCAAAAGGACUUACGGAACUCAAGUUAUAUUUGAAAUAAGACGAUUAAUCCCCUCCUAUGUCGACCUGCGAUUUUCAAAGUUUUUCUCCCUAUUGAAUAAAUUUGAAAUCCGCAUAUUUUUCCUAUUUGAGUUCUAACCAUCCCAAAAACACACCAAUAAAUAUAAAACUGAUUAAUAUCGCUCAAACAUCAUAGAUCUAACAUGUUAUGACAACAACAUCAUAUAUUCAACCAUUUAAGGAUGAAAACUCUAAUGCUCUCCUUAUUAUAAGGCAUCAAUAGGGAAAAGCUUAAAUUCAACUUUCGCCUUAUCGCAAGGCACCAACAAAAUAUAUUAUCAUUUCAAUUCACAUUAAUUAAUCAUGGAUAACAGAAAUGAACAAACAUCACAUAUAAGCAACUAUAACAAUCAAGGUACAACUAUUCCAAAAUAUAUUUUUGCCUUAUGUCAUCAAACAGGGUUAUCACAUUAAUCUUGCCUUAUCAAAAGACAUCAACAGGGUUAUCACACUAACCUUAUCUUAUCAAAUGUGUCCAUAUAUAUAUAUAUAUCGAAUCAAAAUAACAUAAUGCACACAUAUCACUCAAUCGAGCACAAAAAUCAUACAACACAACAAAAUAGAAUUUACCCAAUCCCUAAUGAGAGUAAUGGUCUCUCUUCUCUAUUAUUUCAUGCUAAACUCCCACUUAAUUCAUAUGCUCUAACUUAACUUUUUAAUUCAUAUUUAUUUAAAUAGGAUCAAUAAGAUGUUGCAAUACCUGAGGUUAAAUUUGGGUUUUUUUCAUAAAAUUGUGUAUCCUUACAAUUUAGCUAAGCAUUGGUCGGAUCCCUUGAAGACCUGGCUCUAUUAAACUAGAAGUUUGAUAAGACUACAUUACAAAAGUCUUUUUCAUCAAGCAUGCCAUACAUAAUUUUCCAUUUACUCACUAGAAAUUAAGUUUUCCAUUGAAAACAUUUGUAUUACCGAAUUUGAAUUAUUGAACUCUAUUGUUUUCACAAUAUUCUGCUUUGUUUGUAAUAUUUAAAGAGACAUCGAUGGAGAUCAAAAUAUUUUUUUCGUAGAUUUUAACUUAGUUUAUUAAUUCAUAUUUCAUUAUAUAGGAUCAAUAAGAUGUUGUAAUGCCCGAGAUUAACUUUGGGCUUUUUCAUAAAAUUGUGUAUCCUUAAAUGACCUAGUAACCAAAUUGAUCCAUUUUUAAAAAUCCAUACCAUUUUUAUGAAAAAAUGAAAUCUGGAGCAUCUAAGCCCAAAACAUAAUGGAUACCCUUUUAGAUUAGGUUUUGUUAACCAGUUCCAUAUUUUCCCCCAUCUUCUUUUACCUUCAGGCUCAGCCGCCUCUGUUUGAAAUUCCUACCUUUUUCAUAUCUACGUAUAUGUGAAAUAUUGAUGGAAAUUUUGUAGAUAUUCAUUCAUAAUGACAAAUAGAGAAAAUAUUUAUUUUCAAGAUCUGGCUUCCUCUUUAGAAUUUUUUUUGAUAUAUAUGUAUUUGAAGAUUCUAGAAAUUUGAUUUUCGCUCAUCUUGUGCUUGCGAUUUAGCGUUUUUGCAUUAGAUGUCAAUCUCAACACUUAGUUUUAUGAUUUUAUUAAUUAAUAAUAUUAUCAGCAGUAGUGUCGUUUGUGUUAGCACUCACAACUAGAUAUUUGUUCAAUAUUUACUUUUACGAAAUUAUUAUGAGUCUGGUCUUAAGAUUUAGGGUCUCACGCUACCACCAAUAUUGCAAUAGAAAGAACAACAAAGGAUCUGAUGCCUCAAUUAAAUCCUUCUAGUAAUUUUUAUAAAACCAGAUAUAUGUGGUGGAGACCAGAUCCAAAAUCAUUAGGUACGCACCUGCCUAUUUCUUCACAAUUGACUUUUUUUUAUUGAAAUUAUGUAGAUUACUGCUUCGUAGCAUAUUUACAAUGAAUAAUGUAAAAUUUAGAUAGAUUCUUCUUAGUAACAUAAUUUUUAUUGUAAGAAAUUUUGUAAACAUUGUGUCCUUUGUGACUUAGCUAUUACUAUUAAGUAAGGAACGAAAUAAGACAAAUCUUGGUUGAACUUUUAAGAAUGUGCAUUGAAAUUAUUUAAAUGAUUAUGUCUUUUAUGUAUUUUACCAUUGCCCAUUGAAAUUAUUGUUCCCUAAUUAUGCUGGAUUGUGGUUCAAUGUAUGUCUCUUAAACUCAAAAGUGCAUGAAAUUAAAACUGGUGCUAAUCUUGUGAAAUAUGGUUGUCCAUAAAUCCUAAAAAAACAUUAAAUUAGUGAAGUUUUUAAUUUCUUUUCUAGAUAAGACUUUGUUAUGACAACUUUAUGCAUUGUGUUAUUUUAUGACUCAAUGCUAUGACGUACUUGAGUAAGUGUAAGAUGAGCAUUAUUAAGAGAGUAAGAACUUCAUAUCCCUUAUAUAAUAUAUAUUUGAUAAAAUUACUAAUAUUUUUAUAAAGUUAGAUUCCUUGUGUGAAAAUUUGACGAAAUCUCUAAAUCACUCAUGAGUAUGAGAUGUGUGCAUGAUUUAAUAGCAUAAAAAGAUUUCAAAAUAAAAAAAAUGUAGGUGUGUCGUGUGAUCACUAAGAAUCCAACAUUUAUAAAGUAUAAGUGUAUUAUAUUAUAUACUUGCUAUACCAAUUCAUUAUUCAUUAUAUGUUAAGUCUUAUUAAUCUAGAACUCGUUUAUUAGUUUUUUGAAUUUUUUUUGACAAAUUACAAGAAUGUCAUCUUAAAAAGAAAAUUUAAAUUAGUACGAAUCCAAUGAUAACUCGAUCGCGAAUCAAUCUUACUGAAUACGCAAUAACCAACCAAUUGAUCCAUGAAAUCAUCAAUUCUACAAGAGGAUACUUAUUCUUUAUAGUAACCUUGUUCAAUUAUCUAUAGUCAACAAAAAUCACAUGCUACCACCUUUCUGCUUAACUAGCAGCAUCGAUGCUCCCCACAGUGAAGCACUCGGCCGAACAAACUUCUUCCCAAGUAGGUCCUCCAACUGUUUCUUCAACUCACUCAUCUCUAAAGCACACAUUCUAUACGGCACCAUCAACAGAAGCCUACUACCAGGUACUAAGUCUAUAGUAAACUCUGCCUCAUGCUUUGACGGAAAAUCACUAAUGUUAUCUGAGAACACUUCAGAAAACUCAUACAUAACAGGUAGAACAAUAAUCAUUCUCUCUCUUCCCCCUCUCAAGGACGCGAACACCAUCAAAACUUGAGAACUCUCCCUCAAAGACAUCCUUACAUGCCUCAAUGUCAUGAAACUUGACCCCGUAGUCUCCUCGAAUUUAAGAAACCUCAUAUCCUCUACAACACCUGCACUCAUGCAAUCAUCGGCAUACUAAACCAACCCUCAACACCUAAAACAUCUAAGAGAAGCAUAAGGUUCUCCCCCACUUGUUUCAAUCCCACUCCCGCUGACAAGCGGUUAGAAAAACAAACUAGCAUCAACAGUGUUUCACACACAUGUCGCAUACUAGGGAACAAUCAACAUUACAAAAACCUGGACGAAUGGACCGACCUGAGCUGAUACCACUAUGUAACACCCUAAACCUCGAAGAUUAUAUAAAAAGAUUUAAUCUACAAUUUAAUGUGUCACUACGAAAAUCAUCCAAAAACUUUCGAAAACUUUUAACAACAUGCAGCGGAAAUUAACAUAAUAACAACUUAAAAUUUAAUUUCACAAAUAAAAUAUUAUACUUUAAACCAUAUAAUCCAUUAUUAACUAAAAACAUAAUAAAAACGCAUGUUCUCAAUGUUAUAGAUCCUAAUCAACAAAAAAUAAUAACUGAUAAAAUAAAUGAAGGUAAGCUCCAAGAAGCUAUCUUCCACUCACAACAAUAAAAUUCUACUCUUGAUUAUCUGCAAGAUGUCCAUGGUGGACAACAUUAAGAAAAGGUAGAGAAACAUACAACAUGCCAUACAUUCAAUACAUAACCAACAUAACAAUAAUCUCACACUCAUUCACAAUAAUAUGCAAAUAUAUGUAAUGUGACUCACGACACGACGUGACACUCAACAUUUGGUACCAACUCAACAUUUGGUUCUUGAACCGAGUCCCAACAUCUGAGCUUUAAGCCCCCACUUUGAGUUUGGGACAAAUCACAAGUUCCAACAUCUGAACUCAUGAUUCGCAUCUUUGGUUAUUCAUAUGAACUGGGUCCUAACAUCUGAACCUCGAGCCCUAACAUCUGAGCUCCAAGCCAUAACUUAUGAGCUUGGGACAAGUCACUAGUCUCAACUUCUGAACUAACGAACAUGCCUCUUUCAUAAUAACAAUAACAUAUAAUGUAGGACAUACAAUAAUUUAACAACAACAACAACACCGUAGUUACAUCCCAACAUCUAACGAUUAAUCCCCUCCUAUGUCGACCUGCGAUUUUCUGAGUUUUUCUCCCUAUUGAAUAAAUUUGAAAUCCGCCUAUUUUACCUAUUUGAGUUCUAACCACCCAAAAACACAACAAUAAAUACAACACUGAUUAAUAUGGAUCAAACAUCAUAGAUUUAACAUGUUAUGACAACAACAUCAUAUAUUCAACCAUUUAAGGAUGAAAACUCUAAUGCUCUCCUUAUUAUAAUGCAUAAAUAGGGAAAAGGUCAAAUUCAUCCUUUGCCUUAUCGCAAGGCACCAACAGAAUAUAUUAUCACUUCAAUUCACAUUGGUUAAUCAUGGAUAACAAAAAUGAACAAACAUCACAUAUAAGCAUCCAUAACAAUCAAGGUACAACUAUUCCAAAAUUAUAUUUUUGCCUUAUGUCAUCAAACAGGGUUAUCACAUUAAUCUUGCCCUAUCAAAAGGCAUCAACAGGGUUAUCACACUAACCUUAUCUUAUCAAAGGUAUCCACAUAUAUAUCGAAUCAAAAUACAAGAAUGCACAUAGAUCAUUCAAUAGAGCACAAAAAUCAUACAGCAACACGACAAAACAAAAUUUACCCAAUCCCUAAUGAGAGUAAUGGUCUCUCUUCUCUACCAUUUCAUGGUAAACUCACACUUAAUUCAUAGGCUCUAACUUAAAUUUUUAAUUUAUAUUUAUUUAUAUAGAAUCAAUAAGAUGUUGCAAUACUUGAGGUUAAAUUUGGGAUUUUUCAUAAAAUUGUGUAUCCUUAUAAUUUAGCUCAACAUUGGCCGGAUCCCUUGAAGACUUGACUCUACUAAACUAGAAGUUUGAUAAGACUACAUUACAAAAGUCUUUUUCAUCAAGCAUGCCAUACAUAGUUUAUUAGAAGUAAUUCAUAUUUAUUAGUUGUACUAUUUUCUUAGCCCCUAAGUUUGUUAGAGGGUAUUUUAGUAUUUUAUCCUAUUCUAGUAACCCUAGUUUUAGCUUAUAAAUAGGGUGCCAAUCAUUGUAACCUUUAUCAUGUUUUGUAGCCGUCAUUCUCUUAAUAAAAUAUUUCCGUUCAUCAUUUAUUCUACCUUUGCACCAACAAUUGGUAUCUAGAGCUCCGGUUCGGAUUCAUUGGGAAACACAGGAAACACGAGUGAACGUGAGGUCUUGUGUGUUUGAUUUUGAUUCUUAGAUUCGUGUUGAAUCUUGAACAAAAUCUGAUCAGAAUUUUAAUUCUGUGGGUUGGGAAACACUGUGUGAGAAAUCUGAGUGUACUGUGCAAGGUAGAAAGAUGAACGGAAACGGCAACAUGAACACCAAACUUCCAGUAUUUGACGGUAAAAACUGGAAUCGUUGGAUGAUCCAAAUGCGUGUACUGUUCGGUGCUCAAGAUGUUCUAGAUCUUGUCACUGAUGGUUAUGUUCCGGUAGCAGCAGAUGCGACGGAUGAACAGAAAAACGCGCAGAAGGAAGUAAGGAAGAAGGAUCAGAAAGCAUUGUUCUUCAUUCAUCAAUGUGUUGAUGUAAAUGUGUUUGAGAAGAUUGCAGAUUCAACGACAGCAAAGGCUGCGUGGGACACACUGGUUAGAUGUUAUGGUGGUGACGCAUCAGUGAAGAAGGUGAAGCUUCAGUCCUUGAGAAAGCAAUAUGAGAAUCUCAACAUGAAGAAUAAUGAGAAAGUUUCUGAAUACAUCUCCAGAGUGAUUCUGAUCACUAAUGAGAUGAAAGCGUGUGGAGAAACUCUUUCUGAAGAAACAAUCAUGGAGAAGGUAUUGAGAUCCCUUACCUNNNNNNNNNNNNNNNNNNNNNNNNNNNNNNNNNNNNNNNNNNNNNNNNNNNNNNNNNNNNNNNNNNNNNNNNNNNNNNNNNNNNNNNNNNNNNNNNNNNNNNNNNNNNNNNNNNNNNNNNNNNNNNNNNNNNNNNNNNNNNNNNNNNNNNNNNNNNNNNNNNNNNNNNNNNNNNNNNNNNNNNNNNNNNNNNNNNNNNNNNNNNNNNNNNNNNNNNNNNNNNNNNNNNNNNNNNNNNNNNNNNNNNNNNNNNNNNNNNNNNNNNNNNNNNNNNNNNNNNNNNNNNNNNNNNNNNNNNNNNNNNNNNNNNNNNNNNNNNNNNNNNNNNNNNNNNNNNNNNNNNNNNNNNNNNNNNNNNNNNNNNNNNNNNNNNNNNNNNNNNNNNNNNNNNNNNNNNNNNNNNNNNNNNNNNNNNNNNNNNNNNNNNNNNNNNNNNNNNNNNNNNNNNNNNNNNNNNNNNNNNNNNNNNNNNNNNNNNNNNNNNNNNNNNNNNNNNNNNNNNNNNNNNNNNNNNNNNNNNNNNNNNNNNNNNNNNNNNNNNNNNNNNNNNNNNNNNNNNNNNNNNNNNNNNNNNNNNNNNNNNNNNNNNNNNNNNNNNNNNNNNNNNNNNNNNNNNNNNNNNNNNNNNNNNNNNNNNNNNNNNNNNNNNNNNNNNNNNNNNNNNNNNNNNNNNNNNNNNNNNNNNNNNNNNNNNNNNNNNNNNNNNNNNNNNNNNNNNNNNNNNNNNNNNNNNNNNNNNNNNNNNNNNNNNNNNNNNNNNNNNNNNNNNNNNNNNNNNNNNNNNNNNNNNNNNNNNNNNNNNNNNNNNNNNNNNNNNNNNNNNNNNNNNNNNNNNNNNNNNNNNNNNNNNNNNNNNNNNNNNNNNNNNNNNNNNNNNNNNNNNNNNNNNNNNNNNNNNNNNNNNNNNNNNNNNNNNNNNNNNNNNNNNNNNNNNNNNNNNNNNNNNNNNNNNNNNNNNNNNNNNNNNNNNNNNNNNNNNNNNNNNNNNNNNNNNNNNNNNNNNNNNNNNNNNNNNNNNNNNNNNNNNNNNNNNNNNNNNNNNNNNNNNNNNNNNNNNNNNNNNNNNNNNNNNNNNNNNNNNNNNNNNNNNNNNNNNNNNNNNNNNNNNNNNNNNNNNNNNNNNNNNNNNNNNNNNNNNNNNNNNNNNNNNNNNNNNNNNNNNNNNNNNNNNNNNNNNNNNNNNNNNNNNNNNNNNNNNNNNNNNNNNNNNNNNNNNNNNNNNNNNNNNNNNNNNNNNNNNNNNNNNNNNNNNNNNNNNNNNNNNNNNNNNNNNNNNNNNNNNNNNNNNNNNNNNNNNNNNNNNNNNNNNNNNNNNNNNNNNNNNNNNNNNNNNNNNNNNNNNNNNNNNNNNNNNNNNNNNNNNNNNNNNNNNNNNNNNNNNNNNNNNNNNNNNNNNNNNNNNNNNNNNNNNNNNNNNNNNNNNNNNNNNNNNNUGACCAAACUUCUUACAGCAGUAACAUUGGAUUUUCUUCUUGUCAUACUUCUCUUUUCCCUUCUGAGCAUUCUUUUGUCUAUCAGAGGUUGAGCUUUCUGACUUCUGACCACCAUCAGAUCUUCUCCUGGCUUCUGACUGCUUCUGAUACCUCCUAUCAGAAGUUGCUUUCAGAGCCUGCUGCUCUACUUCCCUUUCAGAAGUUCUCUCAGUCAAACGCAACUCUUGCGCUUCUAGACUGCUCUGCAGCUCUUCAAUUCUCAUGGUGCUCAGAUCUUUGGAAUGUUCUAUUGCUACCACAAUGUAAUCAAAUUGAGAGGUAAGGGAUCUCAAUACCUUCUCCAUUGUUGUUUCUUCAGAAAGAGUUUCUCCACACGCUUUCAUCUCAUUAGUGAUCAAAAUCACUCUGGAGAUGUAUUCAGAAACCUUCUCAUUAUUCUUCAUGUUGAGAUUCUCAUAUUGCUUUCUCAAGGACUGAAGCUUCACCUUCUUCACUGAUGCGUCACCACCAUAACAUCUAACCAAGUGUGCCCACGCAGCCUUUGCUGUCGUUGAAUCUGCAAUCUUCUCAACAACAUUACAUCAAACACAUUGAUGAAUGAAGAACAAUGCUUUCUGAUCCUUCUUCCUUACUUCCUUCUGCGUGUUUUUUGUUCAUCCAUCGCAUUUGCUGCUACCAGAACAUAACCAUCAGUGACAAGAUCUAGAACAUCUUGAGCACCAAACAGUACACGCGCAUUUGGAUCAUCCAACGAUUCCAGUUUUUACCGUCAAAUACUGGAAGUUUGGUGUUCAUGUUUCCGUUUCCGUUCAUCUUUCUACUUGCACAGUAACACUCAGAUUUCUCACACAAGUGUUUCCCAACCACAGAUUAAAAUUCUGAUCAGAUUUUGUUCUCAUCAGAGGAUUGAGGCUCAACUUGAUCAGUGCAUUGCCAAAUUCAUCUGUCAGCUGGAAAAGUCAACUGUGGUCAACUGUGCUUGAUUUUAUGGAUUUGGAGGUGGGAGAGAGUUGGAUACACUUAAUUCAUGUUGAAAUAAGUUUCAUUUGACAUGUCAAAGCUCAAGAAUGAAUAAAAUAAAGUCAGGAGAAAAAUUGCCAAAAAUAGAAAGUGACUUGUAAUGGAAGUUUCCAAAAAUGGAAAGUUUUUUACCACAAAAUUACAUGUCCAAACAAGCUUCAAAUGGAAUUUUGUCCAACAUGAAAGUUGAAGAUCUUGAUCUCACCAUUCCGAAAAGUCCAAGAACUUGAAAUUCCCAUGUGUGGUUGGCAAGAUAUGAUCCAUUCAUUUUCCAAAAAUGCCUAUAAUCAAAGUGGCAUAACUUUCACAUGGAAUGUCCAAAAUAGAUGAUCUUUUUAUGAGCAAACCCCAUUUCACAUGUACUUUCAUGGUGUAUGGUCCAAAUUCAUCAAAAAUACUCAUAGCAAAAAGUCAAAUUUUAAGUGGACUUAAGUGCAUUUUUGGUGUGAAUAUGUGAUUUUGAGCAAUACUUGGAAUUUGAACAUGAGAACCAUUCCAACACACUCCAAAUGCAAAAUGUGGCUUGUGUGAACUGUCAUGAGCUGUCAUGGUGCAUAAUUUGGCAAGGUCAUUUUUGGACUUUCACCUAAAUGCACAUUUUCACUAAUCAAUUGGUUUUUGCUAAUUAUGAUUAACAAAGUGAUUAAGGAGAUGGUAUAAGUUUCUAAUCCUAACAGAAUUGUAAUCACAAUCACAUUCUCCAAAGAUCUGUAACUGAAUUUCACCAAAACCUCUCAAAAUUCUCAAAAAUCUUCAUCACUUUUUUCAACAAUUCUUCAUCGAUUCUGCAUCAUUUUGGACAAUUCUUCUUGGAUUCAUCUUCUAUCAUCAUCAUAGAGGAACUGUUUUGCUGAAUUCAAGGCCAAAGCAUCAAGAACCACGACUGUCCAAGGCUUGCUCAUCAAUGGCAUUUUGUUAGUUUUUGCACCUGGAGCUGUUUUGGAUCGAGCUGAGCAUUGUAAUCAACUUCCUGAACCUCAAGCUGCGUCUGUUUCACCUUUUCACGCGCGGAAACUCAAGGAUCAAGAUCUGCAAGCUCCACAAGGUGCAAAUUCGAAUUUCACCAUUGCUUGAAUUGUUAUAUGCGUUUUGUAGGCCUUGCAAUGUAGAUCUUCAUGAUGCUUAUAGUUUUUGAUUUGAUUGAGUAUUGAAUGUGUAAUCGUGAAUUAAAGUUUGAUGCGCAUUUCGUUUUUUGCUCGAUCCCGUUGCCAUGCUUAGAGUUAGGUUAAAUUGAUUACAUAUUCUUAAUCUAGGUUGGAAGACGGUUCUAAUGACUAUAAGCACGAUGCAUUUGGUUGAAAAGUGUUCUUGAUGAAAAUCUGGAAAUUCGUGUUUGUUUUUGGUGAAGGACAUGUGAAACCGUGUGUUUGAUCUGUUGCCUUGACUUUCCAUUUGAAAAUUGUGUUUACCGCUUCCAACUUCCAAUCGCGCGUUGCCACUGCAUCUAUUUGAAACGACCGCGUUUUGGCUAGGCGCUUAAGUAUUACAAGUUUGCCAUUGGCGUAUUUAAUUAAUAUAUUAUUUCAUUUCUUUUUCAUUUGUUUUUACAUUUUGAUGCCACAACUUGUAAAAUUCAUAACUCACUCAUUUUUUGUCCAAUUUUGGUGAGAUUUUUUCCAUGAUACUCCUGAUGAUGUGUAGAAUUUAAUAAUGAUUUUUGUGGAAUUUUUGCACGUGUAGAAAAUUAAUUGGCUUAGGGAUUGAUUUAAUGUGUUCAUUUUGUACAUGUUUUGCCAAAUCUCUCAUGAAAUGAUGAUGCCUUCAAAUAAAUGAAUGAAAUUUUUUGUGUUUGUUCUGGACAUUUUGAUGGUGAUUUUCAUGUAUAGUUUGUGAUUUUUGGAUACUUGGUUGUUGAGAUAUGAUUUUUUGAUUAGAGGUGUGACAAUUUGUGUCACACCAAGCUAGGUCAACUUUAUGAUUUUAUUUAAAAUGCUUAGGGAUGUUGAUUUGAGCUGAAAUUUUGUGUGGAUGAUCAUUGAUAUGUCAAGAUUACAUGUGAAUUUCGCUGGAUUUAUUGGUUGCAUUUUCUAAUUGAUUGAAUAUUUUCUUCCCUGUGUGCUCAUUUGGUGACAUUGUGUGACACAUGUUGGUAAUUCAUUUGUGAAAUUCUCAUAGUGUAUUGGAUGAAGAUGAAAUUUGACAUGGGGAUUGUAGACACAUUAUAGGACAUUAUGGUUUUGAUCCCAUUCAUUUCUUAAUUGUUGUCACUGUUUUAUGAUUUAUGGAAGUUAAUGCUUGUUUGGAUGCCUUGUUUUGCCUUGUAUAAAUGUGUCUGGACUUCUUGAUUUUCAUUGACCUACUUCCUUUUGUCCAAUUGAGCUGAAAUUUGACAUGAUAUUCAUUUAAUGUGUCCUGUUUAGGUGUGAAUUUUUGUGGAAUUAAUUGAAUUGUUUUGGUAUGUUUUUGAUUGAGAUAGUUCUGUUUGGUCAUUUGGAGUUGCAAAUUGCAUGUUUGGUGAUAUUUUGUGCAUAAAAUGAUAAUGGUGAUUGAUAUGAGCAUGGGACCAAUUGCAUUUGCUUUUGAUUUGUUUAAAUGUGAUUUUGGAUCAUUUUCACUUGCUGUUUUGAUUCUUUCAUCCCCUUUGGACCCUAGGCUUGGCCUAGUGGUCUAGUUUCUCACAUUUGGUUUGGAUUUUCAGGUUGAAAUGCAAAAGGCUUAAGGGAAAAAGUGCAAGUUGAUUAAAUUGAGUUUUGUUUGAUGUUGUAAACUAACAUUGGUUUUGUGUUGUAGGGUUUGAUGCUUGAGCUUGAGCUCAUGGCUUGCACUUGUGUGCAUUAACUUGUGUUGACUGUACAAAUUGACUGUUUGACUUUUGCUGUUUACUAUUGGUUUGUCUGAGUACUGAUGAUACUUGAUUGAUUUCAGGUACAUUAAGUCGCUUAAAGUUCUUUAAGAACUUGCUUGCUGCUGCUUGGUUGUAUAAACCAGUUGAGGUAGACUCUCUUGUCUCCAUGUAGUCUGGAAGACCUGGCUUGUUAUUUAGCCAGGCAACUGUCUGAAGUCCUCCUUAAGAGGCGAUGUUUGUGAUUGUUUACUUUUGUGCCAAGCAGGUGAAGACCUCUAUGAGGCAAUUGGCGGAACCCAAGGGAUAUGCAAUCUAUCCCCCGCUAUUCUGUUGAGUCGUCCCUCUGCUCACACCACUGUGUUGACGCAUGGGGACAUUAACCCAAGAUCUUGUACNNNNNNNNNNNNNNNNNNNNNNNNNNNNNNNNNNNNNNNNNNNNNNNNNNNNNNNNNNNNNNNNNNNNNNNNNNNNNNNNNNNNNNNNNNNNNNNNNNNNNNNNNNNNNNNNNNNNNNNNNNNNNNNNNNNNNNNNNNNNNNNNNNNNNNNNNNNNNNNNNNNNNNNNNNNNNNNNNNNNNNNNNNNNNNNNNNNNNNNNNNNNNNNNNNNNNNNNNNNNNNNNNNNNNNNNNNNNNNNNNNNNNNNNNNNNNNNNNNNNNNNNNNNNNNNNNNNNNNNNNNNNNNNNNNNNNNNNNNNNNNNNNNNNNNNNNNNNNNNNNNNNNNNNNNNNNNNNNNNNNNNNNNNNNNNNNNNNNNNNNNNNNNNNNNNNNNNNNNNNNNNNNNNNNNNNNNNNNNNNNNNNNNNNNNNNNNNNNNNNNNNNNNNNNNNNNNNNNNNNNNNNNNNNNNNNNNNNNNNNNNNNNNNNNNNNNNNNNNNNNNNNNNNNNNNNNNNNNNNNNNNNNNNNNNNNNNNNNNNNNNNNNNNNNNNNNNNNNNNNNNNNNNNNNNNNNNNNNNNNNNNNNNNNNNNNNNNNNNNNNNNNNNNNNNNNNNNNNNNNNNNNNNNNNNNNNNNNNNNNNNNNNNNNNNNNNNNNNNNNNNNNNNNNNNNNNNNNNNNNNNNNNNNNNNNNNNNNNNNNNNNNNNNNNNNNNNNNNNNNNNNNNNNNNNNNNNNNNNNNNNNNNNNNNNNNNNNNNNNNNNNNNNNNNNNNNNNNNNNNNNNNNNNNNNNNNNNNNNNNNNNNNNNNNNNNNNNNNNNNNNNNNNNNNNNNNNNNNNNNNNNNNNNNNNNNNNNNNNNNNNNNNNNNNNNNNNNNNNNNNNNNNNNNNNNNNNNNNNNNNNNNNNNNNNNNNNNNNNNNNNNNNNNNNNNNNNNNNNNNNNNNNNNNNNNNNNNNNNNNNNNNNNNNNNNNNNNNNNNNNNNNNNNNNNNNNNNNNNNNNNNNNNNNNNNNNNNNNNNNNNNNNNNNNNNNNNNNNNNNNNNNNNNNNNNNNNNNNNNNNNNNNNNNNNNNNNNNNNNNNNNNNNNNNNNNNNNNNNNNNNNNNNNNNNNNNNNNNNNNNNNNNNNNNNNNNNNNNNNNNNNNNNNNNNNNNNNNNNNNNNNNNNNNNNNNNNNNNNNNNNNNNNNNNNNNNNNNNNNNNNNNNNNNNNNNNNNNNNNNNNNNNNNNNNNNNNNNNNNNNNNNNNNNNNNNNNNNNNNNGUCCUAUUUAUAAGUCGGAUUUAUGGCCAUUUAUUGCUGAGACGCCGAAGUGCUGUCCGAGUUAUUUAUCAGUGGGGAUCCGUUUAUUUCAGGAUUCCCCGGGCCGAUUCAGAGGUUAUGGGUAUCUGAUCAGAGUUUGCUUGGUGA